rnacentral:lncRNA from 1 species
CAAAAAGCUAGAUCUUUUUUGGGGUUUGGACUCGACAGCAACUUUUGGAAGCAGUCAGGUCAAGGAUUCCAAAAUUUACUGUUACUUAGGGUCUUAGAUUUGAGUUUAGAUUAUAAAAUAGACUCUAAAGGGUGGAGAAUACCUUCGAGCAUUGGAAAACUCAUUCAUUUGAGAUAUUUGAGCUUACAAAUGGGUUGGGCAACUCAUGUACCUUCUUCUUUACGGAAUCUAAAGCUUCUAAUCUAUUUGAGUAUUUACUCCCGGGAAAGAGUUCAUCUGCCAAGUAUCUUUAAAGAGAUGGUACAGUUGAGGUUCCUGCUGCUUCCCCCUUUUGUUGACGCUAAAACAAAGUUGGAAUUGGGUAAUCUAGUGAACCUGGAGUACUUGGGCUGGUUCCGAUCAGAAUACGGUAGCAUCACUGACUUCCUCCGAAUGAAAAAGCUCAGGACUCUCGAGAUAUUUCUCAAAGGCAGGUAUACUUCUGAAAUUCUAGCGUCAUCUCUCGGUGAAUUAACAAACCUGGAGGAGUUUAGAUUGAUCGAUGAGAACAACGAAUCCGAUGGGGCUUAUGAUUUGGAUUUCGUUUGUAAUUUCAUUAAGCUAAGGCAUUUAGUGAUAUGGAUGCAUAUGACAAGGCUUCCUGAUCACUCUCGAUUGCCUCCCAACCUUGCACACAUAUCUCUAACUAACUGUGAAAUGGAGGAGGAUCCACUGCAGAUUCUGGAAAAGUUGCUUCAUUUAAAGUCGGUUGAAUUAUCAAGUAAUGCUUUCGUGGGGAGGAAGAUGGUGUGUUCAAAAGGUGGAUUCCCUCAAUUAUCUAAGCUUGAAAUGUCGUACCUAGACGACUUGGAAGAGUGGAUAGUGGAAGAAGGGUCGAUGCCAUGUCUUCGUACCUUGUCUAUAUGGUAUUGUGAAAAGUUGAAGGAGCUACCGGAAGGGCUCAAGUAUAUCACUUCUUUAAAGGAACUGGAAAUCAUACAUAAGAAGAAGGAGUGGGAGACGAAACUCGUACCAGGUGGGGAAAGUUACCACAAAGUCCAACACAUUCCCAGUGUUCAAUUAGACUAUCGUGGCGACGAAUAAGGAGAAUACAACCGUCUCAGGUAUAUAUACUUUUGUUUGGUAUAAUGUCAAUAUUGUUCUCCAUGAAGUUUAGUGUGGAAGUCUCAACUAUCUAACCUUUUUAUUAUUCGGUUUUCAGGUGAACCUACUCAGAAUCAGUACCCACUUAUUGAUUCUGUGAUGUGAUAUAUGUCGUUUUUGUUGUAUUGGUGUGUGAAGUUUACAUAUCUUGUUUGUGAUAUAUUUCGUUUAUCUGUUUGCAUGCUCAUUCACUGUAAUGCUAAGUUUGGAAAUACAUUUGUAUAUCUUCUUCGAUUUCUCCGUUGUGUGUGCCUAGUUGACUUGUAUGGUCGGAAUUUGAGAUAGAACGGUGCUUUGAUAGUGAUCACUGAACAUCAUUCUUAACAUGAUUUUAUCAUUUGGUUUAAGGAAUGUCAAGAGCUUUUAAAUGAAACAUCUAGUUAAUCCGUUUUAACAGAUAUAGAACCUUGGAGUUUAUUGAAACCAAAGUCAAGAGUUUCUCACCACAAUGGGACUCUCCUCACAGUUGAUAUCAAUGGCGCAAUCAAAUCAUAUAUACAACACCUUAGAGGAUUCAAGAAAGUCUCUUGGUUCCAUUCCUUCGCGUCCUGGUUCGCUUUUUUCACUAUUCAAGUGAUCAGCACUUUUGAUUGAAAACUGAUACCACACAGCAUCCACUUGAAACUAAACAUAAAUAUACAACCAAACAGUUACGCAAUGAUAGCUCAACCAGACAGAACCGAACCGAAUCUUAGUUUUGCUUUCCAAAUUUUAAAUAACGGGAUAAACCGGUUGAUUCUCAUCCAGUUCUGUAAUUUGUCUGACACUACUCAAGUGAUCAGCACUUUUGAUUGAAAACUAAUAACACACAGCACCCACUUGAAAGUUGAAACUAAACGCAACUCAAUGAUAAACCGGGAUAAACCGGUUAGUUCUCAUCGAGUUCUGUAAUUUGUCUUUUACUAUCAAACCGGACAAAUUGAUGGUUUAAAAACAAAACUCAGUCUGGAUUAUAAUAAAAUCAGAUCAUGAAACUCUACCAAACAAGAGUCCUUUCGGUCUCUGCAAAUUUGUUUUCGACUCUAAUUGAGAGGAGGAGAAGUCCAGUACUUGAAACGAAUCCAAAAACGCGGUGAUCCGUGCGUUUUCAGACACCAUCGCGACCGUAUGCAUAACUGGGUUAGAGCUUCCUCAUCCGAUUUCACCGGAACUCCUCCACAGCCCAGGAGGUAAAUUAAUUACUUCUUCUCCAUUCAAUUUCCGAUUUUAAUUUCAGCUGAUGAUUUUUAUUCUUCAUCAGUGGACAUACAGCUGUCAAUGUCGGAAAAUCCAUGGUCGUGGUGUUCGGCGGCCUCGUCGACAAGAAGUUCCUCAACGACAUCAUUGUUUAUGACAUUGGUAAUAUUAUACUUCAGCCUAUGAUUAUUGAUUCCUUGAUCCAAAGAAAUGCUUUUUUUUUUUAAUUUCUCUUGAGUUACUGUCUUGGCUUGCUUUGUUUAUAAUGAAAGACUAGUGUUUCUGGUAGUUUAUUUGUCUGUUAAGCUUAGUUAGGCUGAUGCUUCCAUCAAAGAUAGUUACUUUGGAAAAAUUAUAGAAAACUGAAAACUUCACAAUGAAAUUAUUCGAUUCGGUGUUAGUUUUGUUGCUUAGCAUCUUUUGUCCCCUCCUUGGCAUUGUUUUAAUUAUCAUAUGGUCAGCUUUUUUAAUCAUGUGAGAAUCGGUUUGUCUUAUGAUUCGGUCGACUAGAGAACAAACUCUGGUUUGAGCCAGAAUGUACCGGCAGCGUGUCUGAAGGAAAAGUUGGUCCUACACCUCGCGCGUUUCAUAUUGCCAUCACUAUUGAUUGUCAUAUGUUCAUCUUUGGUGGACGUUCUGGUGGCAAGAGGUACUCACUACUAUUUAUUUUCUAGUUAUAAGCGUUUUUGCAUUCUUUUUUCAGUAACUUCUAUAAAUCAAUUUCAGGUUGGGUGACUUCUGGGUUCUAGAUACAGGUAAGUGUACAAUCAUAACAAUGUCACUGAGACCUGCCUGGAACUUUUUAAUACCCUGCUGCUGACAUUUUCUGCAGAUAUAUGGCAGUGGUCUGAGCUAACCAGCUUUGGCGACUUACCUACGCCUCGUGAUUUUUCUGCCGCCGCUGCUAUUGGGAACCAGAAAAUUGUGUUGUGAGUAUUCAGAAAUUUUAGACGUUCAUCAGCUUGUUGCAUGCAUUGGCGUAACCUAUGAUCAUUGGCAGGUGUGGCGGCUGGGAUGGUAAAAAAUGGCUGUCAGAUGUGUAUGUUAUGGACACAAGUAUAUCUCGCCUCUACUUCAGUUUUGUAAUAAAACUGUUUUUAAGUUUAUGAUAAUGUCAGCUUUCUUGGUGUCUGUUAGUGUCUCUUGAAUGGAUGGAGCUGUCGGUUUCGGGGUCGUUGCCGCCUCCUAGAUGUGGCCAUACAGCCACCAUGGUUGAGAAACGUUUACUUGUUUUUGGUGGCCGAGGUAUAACACCAGAACCAGAAUCUUUGUUCUGCUUGAGCUGAUGACAACUAAACUGAGACUAUGGUUAUCUUUGACAGGAGGUGGUGGCCCUAUCAUGGGUGAUCUGUGGGCUUUGAAGGGUCUAAUAGAUGAAGGUUCAUCCUUACCUAAAUUACUUAAAAAUUGCAUUGAAUUAUGUAGAGGAGUAUUCUCUUGAGUUGUCUUUCUUUCUUUUGUUCUGUUUGCUGAUCUUAUUGUGGGGUUUACCUUUGCUGUGGAAGAAAGAACGUGAAACACCUGGAUGGACCCAACUAAAGCUUCCUGGCCAAGCACCAUCAGCUCGAUGUGGUCACACUGUCACAUCCGGAGGACAUUAUGUAUGUCUUUUUCAGCUUCCGUUUGCUCUUUUGUAUAAAUAGGUUCGCAUGACAUACAUCACUCACAUCAUUAAUGUUCAUGUAUGAAGCUUCUGUUAUUUGGGGGACAUGGAACUGGUGGAUGGCUGAGUCGUUAUGAUGUAUAUUAUAAUGACACUAUAAUUUUAGACAGAGGUAAAUUCUUGCUUAUGAGAUUCGUCUCCUCUGCUAAAGGAGCACUCUAAAUCCAAAAAUCCACCUCAGUAAUUUACAAUCUAGUGAGAUGAUAAAAUUGUGAUGUGCUUUAUCAUUUUUCUUGCUGAGCAUUGUUUUCUACGCGUUGUUGCUAAAUUUAUAUUUUCACAUACUAGUAACUGCACAGUGGAAGCGCUUACCAAUAAGCAAUGAUGAACCUCCUCCUCCUCGAGCUUAUCACACCAUGACAAGUAUUGGAGCUCGUCAUCUUUUAAUUGGUGGUUUUGAUGGAAAAUCAACCUUCGGUGAUCUUUGGUGGUUGGUUCCUGAAGGUAUCUUUCUCUUAUUUAUACUGAUGUUUUAGUCCAACUUAGCUAUCAUUCUGUGUACACGCAUCAUCAGUUACUUAUAGUUGGAAACUCUUUAGACGAACUAAUCUUGGUGUUGGUCGCAGAUUGUAGGCAAUUUUAGAGACACUUAAUUUCUAGCAUAAUCUUUUUUUUCUUCUUUAUCAAGUUUGUAUUGAAAGUUUUGAAGUUUUACUGAACUGUUUAGCCUUCUGAAAAUGUUGUUAUUCGUUUUUUUCUUUUUCUCUUUUCUCAGAUGAUCCGAUAGCCAAGAGGUCUUCUGUACCUCAACUUAGAAACCCUCCUGAGACUAAAGAGUCAGAGAGAGAUUUGGAUACGGUAACUGUGGUUCCUGCUCAUCAUCUUAUGUGUUUCUCGCCAAUGCAGUUAAAUUAGCUUUUCAACUUGUUUUAACACCAAGAGUUUGGUCACAGCAGGAAAGAGGACAAGAGGGAUUCACUAUCGUCGACUUGCAAAAGAAAAUGGGAAUCUCUGUUUCUUCAGGGUUACGCCUUCAAAUACCCGAGGAGUUAGAAGAUCAAGAGUUCGUUGAGUUAGGAACCAGAUUGAUUGAGGGAGAUGCAGUUGAUAAUGGAGCCUCCAUGAUUCAGGUGAGUUUUUCCUCUUGUCUAUUUUAGAAUGUGUGAUUGUGUUAUUCUUGUACUGAAAAUGCUUCUCAAUGAAAAGAUGGCAGCUGAAGCACUUCGUCAACAUUGGAAAGAGUCCACUCCAGAGACUUUGCAAUUAAAGGAGCUUGGUUCCUUGCUUCGAGAUUAUCAGCGACUGGUUACCCGAAAAUACACGUGAGUUCUUAUCCAUGCCUAACUAUUUCAGACUCAGUUCUUGUUUAUGUAGAUUAUCUUUUGUUUCACUAAAAAUGGUUGUUCUUUGAUUGCGCUUGGAAUCACCACAUGGCAUUAGAAUAACUUAGAUAAAUCUCCUGAGAGUUUAGGAGUCAUAUAGAGUUAAUAUGAAUAUAUCAUUUUUGUGUCUUGAAUAGCCCUCGAGACUCUUUAAUCCGAGCAUAUUGUCAAAACUGAUAAUGUUGUGAAUGCAUUGUUUUGUGCCCCUACUAUUACAUGUUAUGAAAUCUCACAUCUGCGUCUUCCUUUCCUUGACACAUGUUUCUUUUCAUUUGUUGUGGCGGGUUUCUAUCAGAGCACAGAGCAGCUUAACAUCUGCUGAUUUUGGAAAGAAGACCUUUACGUUUUAUCAUAUCAAAAAUUCUUCCGAGGUAUUACUCUGCAUACUUUCCUCCCUCGCCUGAAUAUUUGACACCAAUCAAUCAAAACAUCAGGCUUUCCUCCUGACAUGUCAAGUUUACAUUUUGCUAUUCUCAGUUGCGGAUGGAUGACAUUCCGGAGUUGCUGGAAGAAUACAAAACCCUUGUAAUCUGAUUGAGGAGCUCUGCCAUGAAACUCACAAGGAGAAUACAAAACUCAUCAAGUAGCUGCCAAGAAGAUCACUGAUAUUACGUGUAUACGCACACCAAGUAACCUAAUGUGCACACUACCACAAUCGAAUGGUAUGUCGAUGUAUCACUUUAGGAUCGAAUCCACAGAGACCAACUAUUACACUUUAUCUUUAUGGGAUCAAUAUCAAGCUAAAACAAUAUGGGGGUUUUAAAGUUGAUUUCGUAACAAGCAAGUAAAAAGAUUAAUUAAAGAUUUCAGAUGAUUAAAAUGCUAGCCUAGGGUGGUUUGGUCGGGUGUUAAGCAAGUGUGAGCCAAACAAUUAUUCAAGUUCAAUUAAGAGCAAGUCUAGAACUCGGAUCACUCAAAUAGAACAAUCCACUGUCGUGGUACUGCCCCCUAUGCUGAUCGAUCUUGAUACCUAAACUCUCGUUUGGAUCAAGAUGCGACAGCAAGCAAUAGAGAUCAAGUCCGAUAUGUUCACAAAACACCCUAAUAUCUACUUUCGCUGAUUAGGGAUGCAAUGCUCAUUCAAGUUAUGUCUAGCAACCUAUAACACUUUUGAUGAAUAGAUUAAACCUAGAAUCAGGCACUAAGUGGUUAACUUGAUGCAAGCCUUAAGAACAACAGUGAAUGAAGACAAUCGAUUUAUAACUUAUUUAUGUCAAGCUCACGGAUCUAACACCCUAACACCCUAGACUAAGCAAGUUGACUACUCAGCCAUGAACAGAGAAAACAUAGAGAUCAAUUCUGAAUAAGACUUCAUGUAAAUAAAAGAGAUAGAAAGAGGGUUCAGGAUAAUCUUCUCUAUGGUGAGAGAGAUGGAGCCUUCUCCCUUUACAAUCCAAAAGCACAAAAGUCUCCAAUGGUUUUCUUCUGUCUAGAAUAGCGUAGAAUGAUAAAGAGAAACAGAAAAUAUGAUAUAUCAAAGCCACAGGCGGCUGGGAGAGAAAAUAGGGAUAAUUAGGGCAAAUCCCGUAAUGAUUGUAGUUUCCUUAAAAAUCUCUGCCGCUGGAACACUCAUUCGGAACAAUCACUCGGGUUGCUCCGCUAUCCGGAACAGUCAUCAAGACUGUUCUGCGUGAAAACCACCAAAUUGCACUGUUUGCUGCCUCUUUUGUUCCAGCUGGUCCAUCUCCCAUCCAAUGCAACUCCAGACCUGUAAUGACUCGAAAAGGACUAGAAAGACUCGAUAAAGACUUGAAAACCAAUUGAAAAGCAUAUAUACAAGAUGUAUAAAACACCAUAUAUCAAUUCCCCCAGACUUAGAUCCUUGUUUGUCCUCAAACAAUGUCAAGUAUCAAGAACAGGGAGAAAGGUUUGAAAGUGUGGGAACUCUCAUAUUCUCAGCAACCAUACUUUAACCACGAAUCUCUGAACCAUACAAGCAGUAAAACUAGGACAACACACCCUUACCGGAACCCCACUGACUGCUGUUCAAAAAUCGGCUCCAUACUCUUCAUCUCAAACCUGAAAAAGCAACACUAUCGAGACAGAACUCCCUACAUUCAUUUAAGAGUAGCGUGAGCUUCUCAUCACAGGCAUCAUUCAGGGUAGACGGUCUAGGUGUGGAACAGGCUAUUUAAUGGUGGAGUUAAGAGUGUUUAGGGGCUACCAUUUCAUUGAAGAGGAUGCAUGAUAUCACACAAAAUGGCAAGAGAGGAUAGAUCCAUUGAUGUCCACAGCCUCUACUCGUUUUUGCUCUAUCUGGUGCGACUGUUCUGAUGACGGAACAGGCAACUGAUUGUUCUGCUUUCCACUUUCCUCUACACACUCUUCAAUACUUGGUACCAACUUCUUGCUCGACCUUUCCAGUGGCUCUAUGUUUCUUUUCUUUCUUUCCCUUCUCCAUCACAUUGUUCUCGUUUUUUUUUUUUUUUUUGAAUACUGAUAUGGUGAUGUGACGAAGAAGGAGGUAAUACAUGAUCGUUCUGAGUGCCACUGGUGGUUCUGAUUUCGCGACCAUUCUGGUUCUCCACCCCUGCUCUUGCGCAGUUCAUUGGUUAUGGAGCGGUUGCUCCCUUAAUCUGCUUGUUCUCCUUUCUGACAAAAUUUCUGCAGCAGUAACGAGUAGGAGGCUGCGUUGAUCCUUUCCUCUCCGACCUUUUUGCACAUAUCUGCACAUAUGACACUGAAAAACAAAUGCAUGAAGGUAGAAUAAAGGCUAAGGUGCAGGGUGGGAACUAGCUAAAGAUGAGCUAGCCACUCAGGAUCAGCAAGAUGGAUAAAAAGGAUAAGAAGUCCUGAGUGUGUUCUCGUUUUCCUGAUCUAAUGCCCAUAACAAGAAGAAUUUUAGUCAAGAUUAGGUUCAAGUAAGGUGGAGUUAUGUCUACCCAGUGUAACCUGAUCGGCUGAGAACUUCUGGAGAAUCAAGUGAGAUAUGUCAGGGUGUUCAAGGUUCACAUGUGUGUCUUUCGCCACUGCUAAGGUCACUAAAUAAGAUAACUAAAGCACGAGGUGGUCAGUGAUCAACACAGAAUAAGGUCUUAAUUCCCACAAAGUUUUGACUGACUUAAUCAUAAAAACUGACUCAAACUGACUUAAAAGAAAAACAAAAGAAAGAAACAAGUUAGUAAACGACGAAAACCCUCCCCCAGACUUACUUCACAACGUCCCUGGUGUGAAAAUAAAUCAGAGAGAAGGACAAAACAAGAAUAAAUAUUUUUUUGUUUGGGUCGAGAUACUUACCUGAGUGGAGCAGGCGCUCCAUGAAAAUUCUGGGUGUUCUAUCGUCAGAUGAUCGCCUGGAACAACCGCUCUUUUCAGGGGAUAGGUUGUUCCGUUUCUGCAACCCAGAAUUUUUGAAGUAUCUCGAAUUUUUUUUGCUUUUUGACCUGAAACUUAAUAAACUAAAACGAAAAUUGAGUAAACAAAAACAAAACCAAGUUAUAUUUACACUUACCAGUGGGUUGCCUCCCACCAGCGCUUGGUUUAAGUCUCUAGCUUGACUUGGUGACUGGGAUCAGUCGGGUUGAGCAGGAGGGCCUGUUCCAAAACAAGCUCCACAAUCAGACAUGUUCAGCUUCAAAACCCUGCUCAACAACCCUUUCACAGCAGCUUCCCCUUUCUCUUUCAGCUCAUGUGUGAGAAUAGCUCUGCUUUAGAGAACGGUUUAGAGGUACCCUUGCACUUUACCUCAUACUCAAUGGAGUUCUCAUCACACUUGAGAGGUAUCAAAGUCACUGUAGGAUCUCCUUGACCCUUUUCUUCUGGACUUUCUGUUUCACCCUUGAAUUCCCUCUGAAUUUAGUAGGAUCAGUGCUAGGAUCUUCAUCAAAGAACAGUCUGCUCUCACCCUUAUCACCAUGCUCCUUCUCUGGAACAACCUUCAGCUUUUCUACAUCAAACACUGAGAUGCGAGAGGCGUGUGAUGAGGAAGAUCUGGUGGGUACAGCCUUGUAGAAUACUUUCUUGUUGAUGUUGGAGAAGCAGACUCUCUUGUUGGGCAUAUCGAUGGUUGCUCCAACAGUAGCCAUGAAUGUCCUUCCAAAUAUCAAAGGCAUCUCAUGAUCUUUGUUCAUCUCAACAACCUGAAACUCAGCAGGAACAAUGCAUUCCCCUACUUGAACAUGAAGGCUGCGGAUGGUUCCAUAUGGGACUGCUCUGGAAGAGUUUGCAAAGGUCAGGGUCAACUGAGAACGCUCAACAUCAGCAAUACCCAAAUCGUCUACAAUAGCCUUUGAGAUGAGAUUCACACAAGAACCAGAGUCACAAAGAGCGUCCUUGAAGGUUGUUCCUGCGAUGGAACAUGGGAAAACAAACUUUCCAGGAUCAUGAACCUUAGGCAAUACCUUCAGUGCUGGCGUAGACAGUGCUCUGGUAUAGAGGACCUUGAUCUCCUCUUGAGUCUCUCUACAGUGUUUAAAGAACUGGAGCAAUGGACGAAUCUGCAGAGCAUCUUCGAAUGCAAGUUCUUUAGGAAGCCUUCUCACCAUCUUGUUAAAACCUAUCAGCUGCUCUUCACUAAUGGGAUCCAUCAGAUGUCUAGGUGGAAUUGGAUAGGGAACCUUGGGAACAUAGACUCGCACUGGUGGAGUUUCAGCAGGUUCGCUAGGAGCAAUCACUCCAGAGCUAGCAGACUGCUCUGUGUUCUCUUCUGCGCCUAGAACAGUCUCAGCGAACGGCUGCUCUAUUGCAUUACAGUGCUCAGUCCUAGGAUUUUUAUCAGUUCUUCCAGGGAGCGUCUCUUGUUGCCUCUUGACACUCUCAACUGUUUGAGCAAGCUGAACAUCGAUCUUUCUUAUAUGGAUUGCAAGAUUGUCAUACUUGUUAUUCAGUUCAGUGAACAUGUUGCCCAUCCUGGUGUCUAUUUCCGUGGUUACCUGAUUCAACACCUUGGCCUGAACCUGCUGACCCUGCAACAGUUGUUGCAUCAUCAUACCCAGACCCUUCAGCUCAUCUGGUUGACUGUUCUCGGUAGCUGGAACAACAUGCGGAUUGCUCUGCGGUUGUCGUUGGUUCAGGUUCUGAAUAUGCCCGGCCGUAGGUUGCUCCAUGCUGAAAACGUGUCCUUGGUUGUUUUUCAGUAACUGAUCAACCUUGGCAGUCAGCUCAUCUAUUUUCUGGGCGUCAGAACUGUUCCCUUUCAUGGAGCGAUCACUCUCCUCUUUCUUAUUAGCUGAGCUAGCAGCCAUGUUCUCAAUCAGCUUAAACGCUCCAGCAGUGGUUUGAGUCAUGAAGUCUCCAUUGCUCGCAGAGUUUAGAGCACCUUGGUAUUUCCAGUCCACUCCAUCAUAGAAAAUAUCCAGGAUAUAAUCAUCAUCAAAUCCAUGGUGAGGACAUUCUCUGCGAUAGUCAUUGAAGCGCUCCCAUGCGUCGCAGAAAAGCUCAUCAGUGAGCUGUCUGAAGGAGGUGAUCUUGUUCCUCAAUGCAGCUGUUCUCGCCUUAGAGUAGAAAUGGCUGAGGAACGCUGAUCGGACCUGUUCCCAUGAAGUGAGAGAGCCGGUAGGGAGAGAGUUCAACCACCGUGCAGCUUUUCCAUCAAGAGAGAAUGGGAAUAACAUGCACGUGAUGUAGUCUGGUGGAACACCAUUCACGCGAGUGAAACUGCAGACUUUUUCGAAGCUCUCAAUAUGCUCCAUUGGAAUUUCUGUAGAGAGACCAGAGAACACCUUUCUCUGUACUAGACCGAUCAAAGCAGGCUUGAUCUCAAAGUCCUGCCUAGUACAAGGUGGAGGAACAAUGGCAGAGCGCGUAGUAGGGAUGUUACGCGGGAGGUUUCUCUGCCCGAUUGGAACAGUCUGCGCCUGUUGUUCCUGCUGCGCGAGAGCAGCCUGUUCAGCAGCAUCCUGCUGAGCUUGGAUGGUCUGCUGCAUUUGUUGCAUCUGCUGCUGCAUGAGUGCCAUAGCCGCAGCGAGAUCAUCUUGAUUGGCGUGAUCACCCAUAGUGGUGUCGGUUUGCCUUGGCUGUUGACGAUUUGUUCUUUCUAACCUUGCUAGCUCCUGGUUGGUAAAUGUAACUAACUCUCCUUGUGCGUUUCUUCGAGUAUGUCUACUGGUCAUGCACCUGGAACAUUAGCUGCAACAAAAAGGAUAAGGCAAGUUAGAGGUCUUAGACUAAAUAAAUAACCGAAAAAUAAAGGUAAAAAGAUGGUCCCCGGCAACGGCGCCAAAUUGAUAUUACGUGUAUACGCACACCAAGUAACCUAAUGUGCACACUACCACAAUCGAAUGGUAUGUCGAUGUAUCACUUUAGGAUCGAAUCCACAGAGACCAACUAUUACACUUUAUCUUUAUGGGAUCAAUAUCAAGCUAAAACAAUAUGGGGGUUUUAAAGUUGAUUUCGUAACAAGCAAGUAAAAAGAUUAAUUAAAGAUUUCAGAUGAUUAAAAUGCUAGCCUAGGGUGGUUUGGUCGGGUGUUAAGCAAGUGUGAGCCAAACAAUUAUUCAAGUUCAAUUAAGAGCAAGUCUAGAACUCGGAUCACUCAAAUAGAACAAUCCACUGUCGUGGUACUGCCCCCUAUGCUAAUCGAUCUUGAUACCUAAACUCUCGUUUGGAUCAAGAUGCGACAGCAAGCAAUAGAGAUCAAGUCCGAUAUGUUCACAAAACACCCUAAUAUCUACUUUCGCUGAUUAGGGAUGCAAUGCUCAUUCAAGUUAUGUCUAGCAACCUAUAACACUUUUGAUGAAUAGAUUAAACCUAGAAUCAGGCACUAAGUGGUUAACUUGAUGCAAGCCUUAAGAACAACAGUGAAUGAAGACAAUCGAUUUAUAACUUAUUUAUGUCAAGCUCACGGAUCUAACACCCUAACACCCUAGACUAAGCAAGUUGACUACUCAGCCAUGAACAGAGAAAACACAAAGAUCAAUUCUGAAUAAGACUUCAUGUAAAUAAAAGAGAUAGAAAGAGGGUUCAGGAUAAUCUUCUCUAUGGUGAGAGAGAUGGAGCCUUCUCCCUUUACAAUCCAAAAGCACAAAAGUCUCCAAUGGUUUUCUUCUGUCUAGAAUAGCGUAGAAUGAUAAAGAGAAACAGAAAAUAUGAUAUAUCAAAGCCACAGGCGGCUGGGAGAGAAAAUAGGGAUAAUUAGGGCAAAUCCCGUAAUGAUUGUAGUUUCCUUAAAAAUCUCUGCCGCUGGAACACUCAUUCGGAACAAUCACUCGGGUUGCUCCGCUAUCCGGAACAGUCAUCAAGACUGUUCUGCGUGAAAACCACCAAAUUGCACUGUUUGCUGCCUCUUUUGUUCCAGCUGGUCCAUCUCCCAUCCAAUGCAACUCCAGACCUGUAAUGACUCGAAAAGGACUAGAAAGACUCGAUAAAGACUUGAAAACCAAUUGAAAAGCACAUAUACAAGAUGUAUAAAACACCAUAUAUCAAUCACCAAGAUUGCUAUCAGCAUUACCAUUGCAAACCACAAAGCUAAAAAGUCUCAAGAGAAUCACAUCUCUGAUAGACAACUAUGUGCAACUUCUUUUUAGCAAGAACAAAAAGAUACAACGUAUAUGUAAGACUUCCAUUAUCUCAACUUAAAUCCAUAUCUAAGCCUCUGCUCUUUUAUUUCUUGUUUGGGCUUUGAAAAUAGAUUGCUUUGCCUUGAAGCCAAUGCGAAAGUAAGGAAAAAAGUAGGCAAACUUCAUCUAUUAGACUUUGAAAUGGAUUACAACAACAACGGUACUCUUGAUAACUUAAACCACAGAGUUUCUGUCUGCAUAGACCCGUAUUGUCUUUUCUCUAUCCCCUAAAACAACUCGAACUCAAGAUGAUCUCCCAUGGCUUUACAUUCAAGAUAUCCAUUACCAUUUCCUUUAGGAGAAGUUGCUUCCGUUGCACCAUUCUCAUAUACAUCAGGCAGAUCAGGCGGAAUGGCGCAGCGGAUGAGAGCCCAGUUCAAUCCUUCAAAGAAUGGAUGCCUCUUGAUCUCUGCAGCUCCUUUCUCCCACCCGAGGCGGCUCCCCGGAUCCUUCAUCACCAACCUUCUGAUCAAAUUCUUUGCCUGGAAGCUCACAAGAGGGCUAUCAGGAAACUUGAGGUUCUGAAACACAAACGUCUCCUCAUUGUCAUAACCUUUGAACGGUGUCUUCCCGUAUAAAAGCUCAUAGAGAAGAACCCCAAACGUCCACCAGUCUACUGCAGCACCGUGACCUUCUCCUUAAUGAUCUCCGGCGCCAAGUACUCGUGCGUUCCUACAAAAGAGUUUGAUCUUGCUUCAGUUGGUUCAGCCACAAGCUGAGGCAAUGAUCUGAACUGUUGGGUCAGAAGAUCAGGCCUUCUCUGUUUUCUUGGUUUUGAGUUUCUAGCUUGCGUUGACAAGAGCCUAGGGCUGAAACAUGGGACACGGCACGAUGGACUCUAUCUAAAUCACAGGUUCUUCAUCUUCUUUGGAAGCUGAGGAGCUUGAUACAAUAAUUGAAGACGAAGACAAACAGCAGUAUCCAGGCGAUGUGCACCGCAGCUACAGCUGGUAAGAAGUCAUGUUCGAACCCGGAUCCAUCUUUGAGCAACUGUUUUAGUUCCGUGUCUAGGAGACCAGUGUUCUGCACUAUCGAAUCUUGGUCUCCUACUUGAGAUGUGAUGCUUCCAUACAAUGUCCAGCCACUGGCGUUGCCUAGUAAUUAAUAUCAUCUCCACCAUAUCAAUAUUUGCUGCAUCCCCUCCUCCAUAAGAAACAUAAAACAUAAAAGUUAGGUAGCUCUAAAACACUUCUGAUCAUAACAAAAAGUAAGAUCUAUAACACACUUGAUGAUUACGUAAGUUGGUUCGUAAUUUUUACCAAUCUUUGGGAUGAGGAACUGGAGAAAAGAUUCCAAAUAGACCGAGGAAGAAAGACAUGCAGAUUCCGGAGAUUUGAUAGUUUGGUGUCAAGGCCACAAAGCAUCAAGCUUGGUAACAUGUCGUAGUAGUAGAAGUAGAACCAGAAGAACUUGACCACAGUACGGUCGUAUCCUAUCAUUGAGUAAAGGAUUAUAGUAUGUAAACUCUAGUUUGUAUGGUGUCAUACUACAUGAUCUAACAACUUUGUCUAUAUUAUCAAUUUUCCUAAUUAAUUAUUUCUAACAAAAAUAUAAUUUUUAAAUAUUAACGAAUAUAUUUUGGAAGUUGAAAAUAAGGUAGAAAUUUUGUACAAAAGGGAAGGAAGGAUAUGGGGGAAUUAUUUGCCUGCGAAAAGUCAUUAUCCCUUACAGACUAGAAAAGUCGCAUAUUUUCUUUUUAUUCAAAAUCAGAACCACAGAUGGCAGCCAAUAUAGACUGUUGAUAAGAUUGACUUGGAGUCAACUCUUUCAUUGCCAUUCAUAUCUCUUCUUCCAAAGAACGUCUCUAAGCAAGUUGAAGAGCUGUUACAUGAAAGGUAAAUCAUGUUCUUGUAUCAUUAUUUGUCUGUUUAACUUGCUUUGAUCUGUCUUUUGGACUCUGUUGUGGUUGAAUCUGAAUUUAAAAACGAAAAUUCGUUGGAUUAUUACAAAUCUUGUUUUACGAAUUUAAACCAUUUAAUCAUCAAAUCUUGUUAUAAAUUGUUUGAAUAAAAGUAAGUUAAGUAAAGUUCCUCUGACAUGUAUCAUGUUUUAUUAGAUCAACCAAGGAUUAUCAUAAACGGUUUUAAAUCGUACUACAAGUUUGUACUUAUGUGUUGUGUUGAUGGUGGAACAGGAGAAUAGUGAUGGCUGAGGGAGUUGUGUCGUUUGGAGUGGAGAAACUCUGGGAUCUCCUCAGUCGAGAAUCAGAGAGACUGCAGGGAGUUCAUGAGAAAGUUGAUGAUCUAAAAUGUCAGAUGAGAAUGUUACAGUCGUUGUUGAAAGAUGCAGAUGCCAAGAAAUAUGAGAGUGUGGUGAGAAACUUCUUGGAAGAUGUCAAAGACACUGUUUUUGAUGCUGAAGACAUAAUUGAAUCCUUUCUUUUGAAAGAAUUGAGUAGAAACCAAAAAGGGAUCAAGGGGCGUGUGAAAAGACUUGCUUGUUUCUUAGUGGAUCGCCGAGGUCUUUCUAUGGACAUUGAAGGCAUAACUAAGAGAAUGGCCAAGGUUGUUGGGCAAAUGCAAAGCUUUGGAAUACAACAGAUCAUCUACAGAUCACCGUCUCUACAAGAGAGACAGAGGGAGAUCCAACAAACAUAUCCUAUGGGAUCUCAAAAGGAUCUUGUGGGGGUGGAACAGAGUGUUAAAGAAUUGGUUGGUCAUUUGGUGGAGAAUGAUAACAUCCAAGUAGUUUCCAUAUCUGGGAUGGGUGGUAUUGGAAAAACCACUCUUGCCAGACAAGUCUUACAUCAUGACAUUGUUCAAAGUCAUUUUGAUGGAUUCGCAUGGAUCUGCGUUUCGCAAGAUUGUAAGCGGAUGGAUAUUUGGCAAAAGUUAUUGCAAGACCUUAGACCUCAAGAUAAGGGCAUCGAACAAAUGAAUGAGCCUACACUCCAGGCUAAGAUCUUUCACUUGUUGGAAACAUCUAAAUAUUUAAUUGUCAUGGAUGAUGUAUGGAAAAAAGAAGACUGGGAUAUAAUAAAAGGCGUUUUCCCCCAAGAAAGAGGUGAGCUCUCUAAUUGUACAUACAUUACUUACGAACUCUCCAUAGCUAUUUCAUAAAUGCCUUUUCAGUCUCUGAGAUGAAAGGAAAUACAAUUGCAGGUUGGAAAAUGAUUCUUACUUCACGUGAUGAAAGUGUUGGUUUCCAUGCAGACCGAACAUGUUUUCCCUUUAGACCAAAAACUCUUACUCCUGAAGAAAGUUGGAAGCUAUGUGAAAGCAUAGCAUUCCCUAGACGAGAUAUAACCGGUACGUUUUUAUAUAAGAAUCAUAUGAAUCCUUAAGGCCAGAAAGCUUGAUAUCUCUUACGGACCUUCUAAUCAAAAUUCUUGUGUUGUAAUUCCUAAAUCAUCCUCUGGGAUUACAUAUAUGGUUCCAAUGUUUAAAAAAUCGAUUUAUUCUAACAUUAUCUCUUAAUUUAAUUUAUUUAGAUUAAUUUAUAAUGAUUUAAACCGAUUUGAAUUGUAUAAAUUGGUAUAAAUCAGAUUUUAAGAAAAUCGUUUCGAUGGGACAAAGUUAGCCUAUGUGCCGCCUAGACCAAUUUUUAGAACAUUGUAUGGUUGUAUAUACCUUUGAGAAACAUUAUAGCAUUUCAUUUAUGUCAUAUGUCAUCAGCAAUGUUUUAAAAACCGGAUCAGACAUUGAUUCGGCAUUGUAGCUGCGUAAAUGGUCAGAUCGGUGCAAUUAGUUCAACUGACUUCUAAAUUUAAUUUAAUUUUAAAUUCAGUAACUACAUCUAUGUAUAAUAAAAUUGUUCUUAUAAAACUUUAUUUCAUUGUUAAUAUCUAAAAGAUCUUAUGAAAAUAAAAUGACAACUUCAAAAAUAAUAUAAACUAUAAUGAAACUAAUUGAUUUAGAUAGAUAUUAAAAACAAUAUGAAAUCUUUUUAAAAUUUGCAAAUUUUUAUUUUUAAACUUGAAUUUGAGAAAACUUGAUUUUAAUAUCGAACCAGAUUACCGGUUUUAGCAAAUUUGAACAGUUUAUGACAUGGUUUACCGGUUUAAUUCAAAUUCAGUUUUAAUACAACUCAAAACCGGCUAGAAUAACGAGUCAAGGUCCAACCGGGCAAUCCGGUUUUCAAAACACUAGUCAUCACCAUAAUGAUUCUUUUUUUUUAGAGAAAUAUGUUAGCCAUCUAAACAUAUAAUAUAAUACUCAUUAAACUAAAUAUUAAAUUAAUUAUUAAUGUACAAAACAUAUUAUUCCUUCUUUGCUUAAGUAUAAGCUACAAAAUUACAUAAUGUGAUAAAUAUAUAUAAGGAGUUUUCUUGCGCCAUGCGCAAAUAUACUAAUUUUUAGCUAAAUUUUUAUUUAUUUUAUUUUAAAUAAAAAUAAAUUUACGUUUUCAUACUAUUAUUUUUAUAUUUUAAAUUCAUCGGUCUGGAAAAGAGUGAAAUCACAACUAUUUUUUUGUAAUUUUGUUUCAUUUGAUUUGUUUUAUUUAUUUUAAUUUUAUUUUAUAUGAAUUUUAUUGGAGAAGAAUUAUAUUUUAUAUAACUUUGAAUUUUAUUUAUUUAUAUUUAGUGAUUAUUUAUUUUGAAUAUGUUUCUUAUCCUCUAAGUGUAUAAAUUUUAAUAAUGAUUGGGUUUCUGUUUAAAUGUAUAGCUAAUAUGUUAAACUCGUAAACUCAAUUUCUUAAUUAAUCAAAUAAACUAAUGGAUGCUAAUAAAAUUUUAAACAUUUAAUCAUCCAAAAAAAUUGAUUAGCAUUGCUUUAGUUUUGUGUUCCCUAAUGCACACUUACACUUUAUUUUAAUAAAAUAUAAAAUAUAUAUAGAAAAUAUGAUAAAUAAGUUAAUUUAAAAUUAAAAUAUAAUUAUAUUUAGUUUAUUUUUAUAAAUAUGAUAUAUAUAAUUUUAUUUUAUUUCAAUGGUGAUAUAUGAAUUAUUAGUUAUUAAUAUAUUUUAAAAGUCUUGCCAAAAUAAACAUUUACACAGAAAUGCUAACUUCUAAAUAGUGAUAUAAACAUUAUUAGUCAUUACCAUUUUUAUAAAUUCUUACUAGAAAUAUAUAAAUUUGUAAAAGUUAUUAUUAUUACCAUAUUUAAAAGUCUUUAACAAAAAUAUAAAUUUUUAUAAGAAAAUUUUCAUGUCAAAUUAACUUGAUCUCAUGUCAUUAUUUUCUAAAAACAUGUCAUUUUUUUGGGUGAGAAUGAACACUGUGAUGACAUGUGUACAAAACCACUUUGCAAUUAAUAUUUAGGAGAUACUACAAUCAAUGACUUUGAAUAAUAAUGAUUUGAUAACAAUUUGUGUAUCAUCUAUCAUCUUUAUUUAAUUUUAUAUUAUUAAAAUAAAUUAAUUAAUCAUAUUAAUCAUCUAAUAAAAAUAGAUUUUCCUUAUAUUUUGAAUUUUAAAGAUGACUAUAAAUUACUAAAAUUGUUAAAAUUAAUGGUUUAAUUUUAUUAUUAUAAUAAGAUACAAAUGAUCAUAAGAACUUAUGAAUAUGAAAUUUCAUUUAAUAGAACUGUAGAUUAAAAAAAAAAUAUAUAUAUAUAUAUAUAUCUAUUUCAAUAUCGUUUAAAUUUAGCUGUAUAUAUAUAUAUAUUUUUUUUUCUGAACAUUUGAAAAGACUAGAGACAUUAUUUCAAGGCUCUAAUGUUAUAAUAUGUGUUACUGUUUUCAGAAUUUAUUGUUGAUGAAGAACUAGAAGCCAUGGGUAAGAAAAUGGUCACACAUUGUGGAGGACUACCAUUAGCCGUUAAAGUGUUGGGAGGCUUGUUAGCUAAUAAAAGCAUGGUUGAAGAGUGGAAAAGAGUAGAUGACAAUAUUCAAAGUCAGAUAGUUCGCAUAGAUGACAACAGUCAAGAUUCGGUUUACCGAGUAUUGUCUAUGAGCUAUGAAGACUUGCCAAUGCAGUUAAAGCAUUGCUUCCUCUACCUAGCUCAUUUUCCUGAAGAUGACAAGAUACAAAUGGACAUAUUAUAUUAUCUAUGGGCAGCAGAAGGCAUAAUAAAGUCAAGUGGCGAUGGAGAAACCACUUGGGAAAUUGGAGAAGACUACAUAGACGAGCUAGUACGGAGAAAUAUGAUUAUUGGAGUAAAAGAGGAAUUGAGUUGCAGAUGGGCGUAUUGUCAAAUGCAUGACACGAUGAGAGAAGUAUGUUUAUAUAAAGCCAAAGAAGAGAACUUUCUUCAGAUUAUCAAAGUCCCUACUUCUUCUAUGUCUACCAUCAAUGCUCUUACUCCUACCAGAUCUCGCAGACUCGUAGUACACGGUGGUGGUAAUUCACUUGAUAUGCUGGGAGGUAAAAACAAUCAAAAAGCUAGAUCUGUUUUGGGUUUUGGACUCGACAGCAAAUCGUCGAAGCAGUCAGGUCAAGGACUCAGAAAUUUACAAUUACUUAGGGUCUUGGAUUUGAGUUUAGAUUAUAAAAGCGGCGACUCUAGAGGGUGGAGAAUACCAUCCAGCUUUGGAAAGCUCAUUCAUUUGAGAUAUUUGAGCUUACACAUGCGUUGGGCAACUGAUGUACCUUCUUCUUUACGGAAAUGAAAUACUUCAUCUGCCAAGUAUCUUUAAAGAGAUGGUAGAGUUGAGGUUCCUGCAGCUUUAAAGAGAUGGUAGAGUUGAGGUUCCUGCAGCUUCCCCUUCUUCUUGACGCUAAAACAAAGUUGGAAUUGGGCAAUCUAGUGAACCUGGAGUGCUUGGGCUGGUUCCAAUCAGAAAACGGUAGCAUCACAGACUUCCUCCGAAUGAAAAAGCUCAGGACUCUCCACAUAAAACUCAAAGGCAGGUAUACUUCUGAAACUCUAGCGUCAUCUCUCUGUGAAUUAAGAAACCUGGAGGAGCUUAGAUUGAUCGAUGAGAACAACGAAUCCGAUGGGGCUUAUGAUUUGGAUUUCGUUUGGAAUUUCAUUCAUCUAAGGGAAUUAUGGAUGGGUAUACAUAUGACAAGGCUCCCUGAUCACUCUCGAUUGCCUCCCAACCUUGCACACAUAUGUCUAAUUAAAUGUGAAUUGGAGGAUGAUCCACUGCAGAUUCUGGAAAAGUUGCUUCAUUUGAAGUCGGCUGUAUUACAUUACAGAUCUUUCGUGGGGAGGAAGAUGGUGUGUUCAAAAGGUGGAUUCCCUCAAUUAUGUAAGCUAGACAUAAUGUUCCUACACGACUUGGAAGAGUGGAUAGUCGAAGAAGGGUCGAUGCCAUGUCUUCGUACCUUGUCUAUUCAAAGUUGCUACCGGAAGGGCUCAAGUAUAUCACUUCUUUAAAGAAACUGGAAAUCAUACAUAAGAACAAGGAGUGGAAGACGACACUCGUACCAGGUGGGGAAAGUUACCACAAAGUCCAACACAUUCCUAGUGUUCAAUUAAACUAUUUUGGCCACGAAUAAGGAGAAUAAAACUGUCUCAGGUAUAUAUUCUUUUUUGGUAUAAUGUCAAUAUUGUUCAUUUUGUUGGUUAUAUAUCCUCCUUGAAGUUUAGUGUGAAAGUCUAAACUCUCUGUUAUUCGGUUUUCAGGUGAACCUACUCAGGAUCAGUACCCACCACUAUCGAUUGUGUGAUAUGAUAAUAAGUCGUUUUUGUUGUAUGAAGUUUACAUAUCUUGUUUGUGAUAUAUUCCGUAUAUCUAUUUGCAUGCUCAUUCACUCGUCUCAUAAGAUUCUUCUCCUCUGCUAAAGGAUCACUCUAAAUCCAAAAAUCCACUUCAUUAAUUUACAAUAGUACAAUACUAGUGAGAUGAUAAAAUUGUGAUGUAAAUUAUCCUUUUUCUUGCUGAGCAUUGUCUUCUAUGCGUUGUUGCUAAAUUUUUAUUUUUCACAUACUAGUAACUGCGCAGUGGAAGCGCUUACCGAUAAGCAAUGAUGAGCCUCCUCCUCCUCGAGCUUACCAUACAAUGACUAGUAUUGGAGCUCGUCAUCUUUUAAUUGGUGGUUUUGAUGGAAAGUCAACCUUCGGUGAUCUUUGGUGGCUGGUUCCUGAAGGUAUUAAACUCUUAUUUGUACUAAUGUUUUACUCCAACUUAGCUAUCAUUCUGUGUACAUGCAUCAUCAGUUACAAUCUCGGUGCUGGUCACAGAUUAUAGGCAAUUAGAGACACUUAAUUUCUAGCAUACUCUUUUUUUUCUUCUUUAUCAAGUUUGUAUUGAAAGUUUUGAAGUUUUACACAUCUGAUUGAAUUUACUGAACUGUUUUAGCCUUCUGAAAAUGUUGUUAUUCGUUGUGAAAGAAAGAAAUGGAUUAAAGAAAGAAAUGUUGUUAGCGAUCUAACUCUUUUUCUCUUUUCUCAGAUGAUUCCAUAGCCAAGAGGUCUUCUGUACCUCAAAUUAGAAACCCUCCUGAGACUAAAGAGUCAGAGAGAGAUUUGGAUACGGUAACUGUGGUUCCUGCUCAUCAUCUUAUGUGUUUCUCGCCAAUGCAGUUAAAUUAGCUUUUCAACGUGUUUUAACACCAAGAGUUUGGUCACAGCAGGAAAGAGGACAAGAGGGAUUCACUAUCGUCGACUUGCAAAAGAAAAUGGGAAUCUCUGUUGCAUCAGGGUUACUACGCCGUCAUAUCCCCGAGGAGUCAGAAGAUCAAGAGUUCGUUGAGUUAGGAACCAGAUUGAUCGAGGGAGAUGCAGUUGAUAAUCGAGCCUCCAUGAUUCAGGUGAGUUUUUCCUCUUGUCUAUUUUAGAAUGUGUGAUUGUGUUAUUCUUGUACUGAAAAUGCGUCCCAAUGAAAGGAUGGCAGCUGAAGCACUUCGUCAACAUUGGAAAGAGUCCACUCCAGAGACUUUGCAGUUAAAAGAGCUUAAUGCCUUGCUUCGAGAUUAUCAGCGACUUGUUACCCGAAAAUACACGUGAGUUCUUACUCAUUCCAACUAUUUCAGACUCAGUUCUUGUUUAUGUAGAUUAUCUUUUAUUUCACUAAAAAUAGUUGUUCUUUGAUUGCGCUUGGAAUGGCAUUAGAAUAACUUAGAUAAAUCUCCUGAGAGUUUAGGAGUGUUAUAUAGAGUUAAUAUGAAUAUCAUUUUUUGUGUCUUGAAUAGCCCUUGAAACUUUUUAAUCCAAGAAUUGCCAAAACUGAUUCAUUUCUUAAUGUUGUGAAGUCCUCACAUAAAAGUUGAUUGUAAAUGCAUCGCUUUGUACCCCUCUGAAAAGUAUUAAAUGUCAUGAAAUCUCACAUCUGCUUCUCCCUUUCCUUCACACGUUUGUUUUCAUUUGUUGUGGCGGGUUUCCAUCAGAGCACAGAGCAGCUUAACACCUGCAGAUUUUGGAAAGAAGACCUUUACGUUUUAUCAUAUCAAAACUUCUUCCGAGGUACUUCUGCAUACUUUCUUCCUGUUAUUAGCUUUAUUGAACAUUUGACACCAAUCAAUCAUACAUCAGGCUUUCCUCUGACAUGUCAAGUUUUCAUUUUGCUAUUCUCAGUUACGGAUGGAUGACAUCCCCAAGUUGCUGGAAGAAUACAAAACCCUUCUAAUCUGAUUGAGGAGCUCUACCAUAAAACUCACAAGGAGAUAUACUAAAACCCUUCUAAACUCAUCAAGUAGCUGCCAAGAAGAUCACCAAGAUUGCUAUCAGCAUUACCAUUCGCAAACAACAAAGCUAAAAAUUCUCAAAAGAAUCAUCUCUGAUAGACAACAAGACAUGUACAACUUCUUCUUAGUCAAGGACAAAAACAUAUACCCAUAUGUAAGAUUUUCAUUAUUUCUACUUAAAUCCAUAUCUCAGCGUCUGCUCUUUGCUUUAAAGCCAAUGGGAAAGUAAGGAAAAAAGUAGGCAAACUUCACCUCUUAUACUUAGAAAUGGAUUACUACAACAACAACGGUACUCUUGAUAACUUAAACCAUAGAGUUUCUGUCUGCUUAGACCCGUAUUGUCUUUUUUCUCUAUCCCCUAAAACAACUCAAACUCAAGAUGAUCUCCCAUGGCUUUACAUUCAAGAUACCCAUUACUAUUCCCUUUAGGAGAGGUUGCUUCAGUUGCACCAUUGUCAUAUACAUCAGGCAGCUCAGGGGGAAUGGCGCAGCGGAUGAGAGCCCAGUUCAAUCCUUCAAAGAAAGGAUGCCUCUUGAUCUCAGCAGCUCCUUUCUCCCACCCGAGACGGCUCUCCGGAUCCUUCAUCACCAACCUCCUGAUCAAAUCCUUUGCCUGGAAGCUCACAAGAGGGCUAUCAGGAAACUUAAGGUUCUGAAACACAACGUUGGACAAUGUCUCCUCAUUGUCAUAACCUUUAAACGGUGUCUUCCCGUAUAAAAGCUCAUAGAGAAGGACCCCAAAAGUCCACCAGUCUACCGCAGCACCAUGCCCUUCUCCUUUUAUUAUCUCCGGCGCCAAGUACUCGUGCGUUCCUACAAAAGAGUUUGAUCCUGCUUCGGUUGGUUUAGCCACAAGCUGAGGCAAUGAUCUGAACUGUUGGGUCAGAAGAUCAGGCCUUCUCUGUUUUCUUGGUUUCGAGUUUCUAGCGCAUUGAUGGGAGCCUAGGGCUGAAACAUGGGAAGCAGGUUCUUCACAGGUUCUUCACCUUCUUUGGAAGUUGAGGAGCUUGAUACAAUAAGCGAAGACGAAGACAAACAGCAGUAUCCACGCGCAGCUACAGCUGGUAAGAAGUCAUGUUCGAACCCGGAUCCAUCUUUGAGCAACUUUUUUAGACCCGUGUCUAGGAGACCAGUGUUCUGCACUAUCGAAUCUUGGUCUCCUACUUGAGAUUUGAUGCUUCCAAACAAUGUCCAGCCCACUGGUCGUUGCCUAGUAAUAUCAUCUCCACCAUAUCACCAACAAUAAACAUUUUCGAAACUACCCUCCCUCUCCCCUCUCCCAAUAAAAAAAACACAAAACUUAAAAAUUAGGUAGCUCUAAAACCCUUCUGAUCAUAACAAAAAGUAAGAUCUAAACACACUUGAUGAUUACGUAAGUUGGUUCGUAAUUUUUUACCAAUCUUUGGUAUAAGGAACUGGAGAAAAGAUUCCAAAUAGACUGAGGAAGAAAGACAUGCAGAUUCCGGAGAUUUGAUAGUUUGGUGUCAAGGCCACAAAGCAUCAAGCUUUGUUAACAUGUAGUAGUAGUAGUACCAGAAGAACUUGACCACAGUACGGCCGUAUCCUAUCAUUGAGUAAAGGAUUAUAGUAUGUAAACUCUAGUUUGUAUGGUGUCAUACUAAUAACUUUGUCUAUAUUACCAAUUUUCCCAAUUUCUUAUUUCUAACAAACUAUAAUGUAUAAAUAUCAAUGAAUAUAUUUUGCAAGUUGAAAAUAAGGGAGAAAUUUUUUUUACCAAAAAGAAUAAUAAGGGAGAACUACAGUGAAUGUUUCGAGUGGGCCUAAAGCAAAUGCAUUAUUGCCUUGCGAAAAAAUCAUUAUCGCCACAGACUAGAAAAAACUCCUAUUUUCUUUUUAUUCAAAAUUAGAACCACAAGAUGGCAGUCGUAGACUGAUAAGAUUGACUUGGAGUCUACUCUUUCAUUGCCACUCAUAUCUUUUCUUCCAAAGAACGUCUCUAAGCAAGUUGAAGAGCUGUUACAUGAAAGGUAAAUCAUGUUCUUGUAUCAUUAUUUGUAUGUUUAACUUGCUUUGAUCUGUCUUUUGGACUCUGUUGUGGUUGAAUCUGAAUUUAAAAACGAAAAUUCGUUAGAUUAUUACAAAUCUUGUUUUACGAAUUUAAAGCAUUUAAUCAUCAAAUCUUGUUAUAAAUUGUUUGAAUAAAAGUAAAGUUCCUCUAACAGGUAUCAUGUUUUAUUAGAUCAACCAAGGAUUAUCAUAACGGUUUUAAAUCUUACUACAAGUUUGUACUUAUGUGUUGAUGAUGGUGGAACAGGAGAAUAGUGAUGGCUGAGGGCGUUGUGUCGUUUGGAGUGGAGAAACUCUGGGAUCUCCUGAGUCGAGAAUCUGAGCGAUUGCAGGGAGUUCAUGAGAAAGUUGAUGAUCUAAAAUGUCAGAUGAGAAUGUUACAGUCGUUGUUGAAAGAUGCAGAUGCGAGGAAACAUGAGAAUGAAGUAGUGAGAAACUUCUUGGAAGAUGUCAAAGACAUUGUUUUUGAUGCUGAAGACAUAAUCGAAUCCUUUCUUUUGAAAGAAUUGAGUGGAAACCAAAAAGGGAUCAAGAGGCGUGUGAAAAGACUUGCUUGUUUCUUAGUGGAUCGCCGAGGUCUUUCUAUGGACAUUGAAGGCAUAAUUAAGAGAAUGUCUAAGGUGGUUGCACAAAUGCAGAGCUUUGGUAUACAGCAUAGCGUCAACAGAUCACCGUCUGUACAAGAGAGGCAAAGGGAGAUCCGACAAACAUAUCCUAAGAGGUCUCAAAAGGAUCUCGUGGGGGUGGAACAGAGUGUUAAGGAACUAGUUGGUCAUUUGGUGGAGAAUGAUAGCAUCCAAGUAGUUUCCAUAUCUGGGAUGGGUGGUAUUGGAAAAACCACUCUUGCAAGACAAGUCUUUCAUCAUGACAUUGUUCGAAGUCAUUUUGAUGGAUACGCGUGGAUCUGCGUUUCGCAAGAUUUUAAGCGGAAGGAUAUUUGGCAAAAGUUAUUGCAAGACCUUAGACCACAUGAUAAGGGCAUCGAACAUAUGAAUGAGAAUACACUCCAGGCUGAGCUCUUUCACUUGUUGGAGACGUCUAAAUAUUUAAUUGUCAUGGAUGAUGUAUGGAAAAAAGAAGAUUGGGAUGCAAUAAAAGACGUUUUCCCCCAAGAAAGAAGAGGUGAGCUCUCUUAUUGUACAUACAUUACUUAAGAACUCCCCAUAACCACAUUUCAUAAAGGGCAAUUGUCAAUAAUAGCACAUUUUGAAGUUUAUGUCACAAAAAGAGCACUAGAAGGAGAAAAUCACAAAAAUGACAUUCAUUAAAGGGUAAAAUGUCCCUAAUAUCCUUGGUUUAAAUUAAAUAAACAAACAAAAAUAAAUAAAUAAAUAAAUAAAAAAUAAAAAAAUAAAAAAAAAUAAAAAAAUAAAAAAAAUAAAAAAAAAUUUAUAGUUUCAGAUUAUAUGUUUUCAGAUUCGAAAUUUUUAUAAUUUUUUUAAAAAAAAUUUUGAAUUUUUUUUUUAUUUUUUUUUUCAAAUUUUCUUUUUAUAGUUUAAAAAUAAUUUUUGAAACUGUUUUAUAAAUUUUUAUUUUUUAUUUUAGUAUUUAUUUUUUAUAAAAUUUUAAACCCUAAUUCCAAAACCCCACCCCCUUAACUCUAAACCCUAAGGUUUGGAUUAAUUAACCCAAGGGGUAUAAGUGUAUAUUUACCUCUUUAAUGAAACCUAUUUUUGUGACUUUGAGCCUUGAGUGCUACUUUGGGAACAAAAACUUGGUUUGGUGCUAUCCUAGUCUUUUUCUCUUUCAUAAAUGCCUUUUGAGUCCCUGAGAUGAAAGGAAAUACAAUUGCAGGUUGGAAGAUGAUUCUUACUUCACGCGAUGAAGGUGUUGGUUUGCAUGCAGACCCAACAUGUUUUCCUUUUAGACCAAAACCACUUACUCCCGAAGAAAGUUGGAAGCUAUGUGAGAGCAUAGCAUUCCCUAGAAAAGAGAUAACGGGUAAUGUUUUUAUAUAAGAAUCAUAUGAAUCCAGAAUCCUUAAGGCCAGUAAUUUCUUACGGCCGGGACAUCUUAUCAAAAAUCUUGUGUAUUAAUUCCUAAAUCCGCAUGACAUAUAUUAUUACAUAUACCUUUGAGAAACAAUAUACCAUCAAUACUAUUAAAACAGAAGACCUUUUUUUGAGGUGCUCUUCUGUUUCAACAAUAUUUUCAGAUCUUUGCCACUGAAAUAUUUAAAACUUAUGAUUUUAAUUAAAUUCUGAAUUUUCUUUUAUUUAUACAACAGAAAAUCUAAUAAUGAAUCAACACGUUAUUAAAGUAAACCGACUUAUUUAAUAUUUUACCAAAAAAAAAAAAGUAAACCGACUUACCCAACGAACGUAAACCAACCAACAUACUUAACAAUAAAAUAAAGUGUUAUGCUGGUUCAAUCCAUCGAAGUAUAAAUUAUAAACUACAUGAUUCUAUAUACUUAACACGUCUUUAACUUGAUAUCAAGUAUAUAAACAAACAAUUUACAGCAUUUCAAUUCCUAUAGGAUACCGGUUCAAAUGUUCUAUAGAAAACUAAAUCGACGUUGGUAUGAAUUAAAUCAUCCAAUAUAUCACACUUAAAGAAACGAAUAUAUAAACAAUAAAUAUUAAAUAUAUGAACAAAAUAGGUGUGGGAAUAUUCAUUAAGAACAGUUAAUAUUUUCCUAAUUGAAUGGUCGAUAAGAUAUUUAUAAUAAUCAUAUUUUUCAUAGCAAUCAAUUAAAUGCAUCAGUUUCGGAAUGCUAACUAACAAUACCUUUCUUUUUAAAAAUAAAAUUAGAAAGAUCUUCCUAACUAAAUAAUUAAGUCGACAGCAAAAAAAAAAUUAUACAUGAACAAAAUGACUAAUCCUAUUAGAAAAAAUAAAUGAAUUUAUAAGGGUUUGAGAUUUAAAAAGUGUCGGUUAAAAAAGAGACGGGUUCAAAUACAUGACAGAUUUAUUUAUUGUAAAAUAUUAUUUUUAAAAACAAUUAAUUAUAAACUUUCUGAAUAUUUUUUUUUAAAUUCACCUUUCGUAUUGAAAUAUAAAUAUUCUAAAAAAAAUUGUUUUAUCAUGUAAUCUAAGAAAUAUGUCAUUACAAAUAUGUUCUUUACAAUUUCAUUUAUGAUAAUAAUGUGAAAUCUUUUUUUUCAAUAAUGUAUUUUUUCCUAUUAUAAAAAAUAUUAAUAAAAUAUUUUAAUAUUUUUAAUAAUAUAGUUAUUUGAAUUCAGUAUUUUUAAUAAUAUAGUUAGUACAAAAUUAAACUAACCCUUAAACUUACACAAUAUUUACAAUAGAAUGCCACUGCAGUAUUUAAUAAACCUAACAAUAGAUAUUCUUUGUCUUUCAUGUAUUAUUAAUGCAUUUUCCUAAAUUAAUUUUUAACUAAAAACAUGGCAACAAUAAUUUAAGCAAAUCUAAACAAUAAGGAAUAUCAAAACAUGAAUCAGUUGAGACAAUUUUUUUCACGAAAAAGAUGAUUAAUUAGUUUGUACUUUUAUUAUCAUAUCAUGAAUCAGUUGUAAUUUAAAAUCCAAUUUUUAUAUAUAUAUUUAUACUAUAAUGUAAAAAAAAUGACGUAAUAAGUGAAAAAAUCAUUUUAACCACACGAGAUCAACAUAUGAACAAUAAGAAAACAUAUACAAACAUCGUCCAUUUGUUCAAUGAAUAUUAUAUCUUUUUAAUGCUCUUCAUAUACUCAAUAUAAUCAAAAUAUCUAUUUUAAUAUAUCUAUAUUAUUAAAACUGAGGUAAGUAUUAGAAUAUUUUUUUUCAUUCUAAUAACUACAUGCGCUACCUAAUUAAUAAUUAUUAAUUAAUUGACAACAAAUCAUUUAUUUUGUUAGAUUUUUUGCUAUCCAAACUUCAAACUUAAUUCAUUAACUACAAAUCAUUUAUUUUGUUAAAUUCUUUUCUAACCAAACGUACGAAACUUACGAUUAUUUUCUAACUGGAUUAUUCUGUAACCAAAUUUUACAAUAAAACUAAAAAAAUUUAUUUAAAAUGUAUCUACAAACUUUAAAUGUUAUAGAUAUAUUCAUAUAUAUAAUUAUUUUAUUUCACAUGCAAAAUAUAAACUAUAGAUAUUUUUAUAAAGUUAUUUUCAAAAUAUAUAUUAAAUAAUUUGAUGAUUAAUACAAUUUACAAAUAUAAAUUUAAUUAUAAGAAUACAAUAAAUAAAUUUCAAUUUAAUAUUUUCUCAAAAAUGAAAAUAAAAGUGAAAUUUAUUUGGCAUAUAAAAAAAUUUAGAGACAUAUAUAUCUAUGUUAUUAAAACAUGAUACAUUUAAUUUUUAAAAUAUAAAUUUAUUAAUAUAUAUAUAAACAUAAUAAUUGGUACUCUAAUUUAGAAAUAAAUACAUCAAAAUGGUUACUGUAGUCAAAAAUAUAAAUCGACAAAUAUAUUAUAUAAUUUAUUUUUAAUUUGUUUUGUAUUCUACCAUAAUAUGAGAAAUCAACAAAUUACACACAGUAAAAAUAGUCCAUUUAUCACAAUUACAAAUCGAAUAAAUACCAUAUGAAUGUAUAUAUCUACAACUAUUAUAUUUUGUAUUGUAAAAAAAAUUAUAUUUCUAUUUUGUUAAUUAAACACCCGUGCGGAUGCACGGGUCAAACUCUAGUUUGAUUUAUUUCAUAUGUCAUCACCAAUGUUUUAAAAACCAGAUCGGACAUUGACUCGGCAUUGUACCUGGGUAAACGGUCGGCUCGGUCCAACCCGGUUCAAGCGGCUUUUAAAUUUUAAUCAAAUUUUAAAUUAAAUAACUAUAUAUAUAUAUAUAUAUAUGUAUAAUCAAUUUAAUUUUAUAAACCUUUCUAUCAUUGUUAAUAUAAAAAAUCAUAUGAAAAUAAAAUGCAACUUCAAAAAUAAUAUAAAACUAUAGUGAAAGUAAUUUAUUUAGAUAAAUAUUAAAAAAAAUAUGAAUUUUUAUGAAAUCUUUUUUAAAAUUGCAAAUUUUAUUUUUAAACUUGAAUUUGAGAAAAUUUAUUUAAAAAAAUCUCAUAAUUUCAUAAUUGAAAAAUAUUGUUUAAAAUCAGUUUAAAAUUGCAUUAUUUAAACAUAACUUAACAUUUAAAAGUUUUACGUAAACACAAGUUCAAUUAAAGCUACUUAAUUUUUUAUAAAACUUUAUUGUAAAUAACAUGUUUGGUUUUCUGUUGUGAAAGCAACACUAAGUAUAAAUUGCAUGCACCAUUAAAUAUUGAUUCUGGCAGAGUAACAAACGUUACAGAUACUAAAGUUUUAGCUAGCUCUAUUCAAAUAUGAAAGAAUUUCUAUACCAAAAACGAUGUGUGUUUUUUACUGAGAAAAACAUAAUUUUUUUUACUGAGAAAAACAUAAUUUUCUUGAAUAAAGUAGAAUCUUAAAUAUUGAAAUAUUUAUGUUGAUAGUUCAAAUUUCUUCUUAUAUUAAAUUACAUAUAAAUCUGAUAUUGAUAUAUUUAUAUUAAAGAUAUUGUCUUUUUAUAUUAAAUUUAUUUUUUAGUUAUAAAAAAAGAAAAUCGUUUUUAUUAAAUUACAUGUUUUAUAUUUAUUAAAGAUAUUUCCUUUUUGAUGAUAAAGUGAUUUGGAAACAAAUAUUUAAAUGUUUAUUAAAAUAUUGAUAGUGGUAUUUUAACAAUAAAAUUUAUUUAUUAAGGUUAUCACUGUAAUUAACCAUUCUAAGAAUCAACGUGAGUGCGACACGUAGAAAACUGACUUAUCAUAUACUAUUAUAGAGAUAAAGUACUAUUAUGGAGAUAAAGUACUAUUAUGUUCUACACAACUUUAUAUAAUUUUGCUUAUUUGUCAUCUAACACUAUUAAAAGGGGAAUAACAAGCCCUCUUAGAUGUGCCACGUCGGAUUGGAAAUUCAGACCAAUCAAACACAAGUUUUAUGACAUGUCAUUAGGUCAACACAUUAACAUACUGAACUUCAAUUUUAUUCGGCAAAAUCGAUUCCUUUUUCUUUCUUCUCAAUUUCUCUGCAAAAUGUAUUCUGAACUUUUGAUUUUCUAUCCAAGAGUCUACUCAUUGAUUCCUCUUCCUUUCUUCUCUCCUUCUCUACAAAACUUUUACCAUACCCAAGAGUCACUUUUUUUUUAAACUUCAGGCUUGUGAACUCUUAUUCUCGAAGUUGACUUUUGUGUGGUUCUCUUAGAAAUCCUAUUUCUGGAUUUAUGAUUCUGAAAAUUGGAAUUUUGUUUUUCGUAGUUGUAAGAUGGGGAAGAGAUGAGAAAGCGGUUAUAGGCGUUUCAGACAAAAAAAAGAAACAAGAGCUAAAGAAGGAGAAUCACGAUAAAUUACAAAGAGAUUUACGGCAAAGAUCAAAUUGAUGUGCUCUCCUCUGAACUCUGAUGGUAUCAUGGUAAAAAUAUUUGAUUCAAAAGCACUAAAAUUAUAGAGUGGAGAGAUUUGUGGAGAGAUUCAGUUUUUUUGUUCUCAUGUAAUUUUAAGUUAGUUCUCUCAUUGUUGUAUCUUUUCGCAUGAACAUUGUAAUUGAGUUGUUUGUGUGUAUGUCUUUUUAUAGAGUGUGGAUCACUGGAUCAACAUGGGUUUGCAAGGGACAAAAUCUGGGUAAUCGAUGACAAUCUAUCUCCUAUUUACUCAAAAGAGUUCUUAAGAAAAGCUUAGUUGAUCUUCAUCUCAAACCAUCAGAAGAGGACUUAAAGCAAUGGUCUGACAGGUAAAAGUAAAACCAUCAUCAUGCCUUUUAUGAUCUAUCUUUAUAGAUUCUGAAUUCUGUGUGUGUUUCCUUUUUGAGUUCCAGGUUCACUUGCUAUAGAUGGCGACUCAACAUUGAUUUCUUUAGAAACAUCAAUGGCAAGCCCUUCAGAUUCUUAUUUGCAUAUCAUACUUACCUCGCUGUCUCAGAUAUAAGGUAAUUGUACUCUUUAAAAAAAUAUAUCAUCAGCAAAAUAUUCUGUGUUUGAUGAAUCAUUCAACUAUUGAAGGAUCAGAAACAUUUGACUACUUGGAGAACCUCAGCAAAAAUGAGCUUUUGACUCUACUAGAGUAGAAACAUACUUCCCUGAGAACAAGUAUCGUUCGUUAACUGCCCAAAGUGGUAUCUCUCAGACACCAUAAGCUAAAUAAAUGUUUCUUUCAACGUGCAAAAAUCUGAAUCACAUUGCUUUAUAUUUCUAAUCUUCUUUGUUGGCAGGAACUUUGAAAACACAUUAAGUGAAUAGAACGUGUGAUGAUGAACUCAAUAUUCAGAACGUCUUUGUAGAACAUGAUGUCGUUUGUGUAAGUCGUAUAAUAUAAUAACUGUUCCAUAUUUACAUAUAUUUCGUCUUAGAACACAAAUCCAGACUGACCACAGAGUUCUUUAUUUUUUUGUUCUUAUAUGGUUUGAUUCGAAGUUAAAGUUCGUUUCUUUAAUUAUGUGUGUUGCAGAAGUCCAAGAGGAAUGAGUAUGCCAAACUAUCUCCUAACGUUUGCAAGGUAUUGUUUUACCUUGUCUGAUUUGUUUUCAUCAUUCUGUAAUUUUCAUGUGUUUGUUCGCUACAUGCUCGCAAGAGACUCAGCUUGAUCUUUGAAAAGUGCUCUGCUUUUUUCAAUUUUAGUUAGAGACCAAGGUUUCAAUUUUUGUUGCUGUUUGUUUGUGUCUCAGACUGUUUCGGUCAGGUUGAUAAAGGGGCUAAUAUUCUUGAAAUUUAUCGCAAUCAUUGUGAUACUGAUCACACUUGCUCGCAUGACGCUGCUACUUGCUCUUUUUGGUUCUUUGCGGGAGAAAUUGAAAGACUUGCGUUUAGCAUCUGAUCUCUCUUCUUUGUGUGUGUUUCUGCAAGUAAAAAUGGUUAAGGGCUUUGAAUGUACUUUUCAUUCUGAUGGGUUAUUUGGGAUUUAAAGUUUUUGACAUUCUCAGAGUUUCCAUAAAUUUGCAGCAUUGAACGUCAUUUUCCCUUUAUGAGUCCGUGCAAUAAGCUUGAAGACAGAGGUGGAAAGUCGGGGAGGUGGAUGGGACGAGCUUGCUGUGAUGGAUGGGGCGGAGAGGCGUCGGAUCUGAAGAAGCUGUGUAGUGGAGAUGGCAGAGGAAGCUAGCGGUGGUAGUGGUGGCGGCACAAAAAGAGAGAGCACUGGAAGAAUGGAGAUGAAUUUUAGGUUUAGUUAAAAAUUUGGUUUAGUUUGGUUUAGUUUAAUAUCGCAUUCAUAAAUAUGUAAACAAUUUCAAUAUAUAAAAUUUAAUUUAAUUUAUAUUUUUCAUAAUUUUUUAUUUUUUAAUAAUGAAAAUAAUUAACAAAAGUAAUACAUCAUUAAAAUCAAAUUAAUAAAUUUUAAUAACAUUUGUAUAACGUUAUUAUAAAUAUUAACAAUUGCAUAGAUAUUAACGCUAUUGUUGUUUAUUUAACUAUAGCAUACGACAAAUCCGCUAUCAAAAGGGUUGGACGAUGUCAGAGCGUUUUAGGGAACGCUAUUAAAAUGAACUAAUAGCGUUUAACGCCAGCUAUUAAUACCCCAUUUCCUAUAGUGUUCGAGUUACUACGCCAGAGUAUGCAACAUUCAGCAAGGUGGUAGCUUCCAGUUACGCUAAAUAGUCAAAAGUUGGAAAGUUUGGAUUUGAUCUGGUCACGUGCUCAAAGUCAUACCUUUUUAUUAAUCUUAUAAUGGUAACUUCUUUCUAUUGUUGAAAAUGCUUUUCUUUCUUUUAUAUAGAGUGAAGGUGGUGACAAAGCAGUUAAUCAGUUAGACAAAUCUGUUAAUCAACAAUAGCCGUCAACAUGUCUAUUGAGAACAAGGAAGUUGCUGAGAAGAUACAUCCGAGAACUAUACAAGUUUAAUUUUCUUGAUCUAUGUGUUAGUUUUAUCGCCGCCAACGUCCAGGAUUGUGAUCUCCAGUCUCUGCUUUAUACUAUAGUUCAGGUUAUAAAUGGAGUUGCUACACUGUUUAGUGGACCACGAUACCUGCUCCUAAGGGUUAAAUGUAUUCGAUGGCUAAAUCUCUUUCGUGCAAGUCGCAUAUUCAUUCCUAUAGCUUCACUGGUAUUGGAUAUACUGGAAUAUAAAUCCAUAAAUGAUAGUGAAAAGCAAGGAAGUAGCUUGAAGCUGUUUCAACCGUAAAGCUGCUUAAGAAUUGGUUGAAGUCCCUGAAUUUCCAAGAACAAUGUAUCUUUUCUGUGAUUGAGCUCCUUGCCGUCCACUUUUCUCAACGGAGCUUCAACAUAUCUUUUCUAGAGCUUGCUAUUAUUCCCUUAUGAGGCUGAACAAAUUUAACGAGAGAAGCAUUCUGGAAGGGUUAAAGAUGGACAUGGUGGUCAAACACUUCAUCAAGCAGGUGGAGUUGAAUAUUGAGUCUGUACACAAUACUAUCAAAGCAUCACAGACAAAGGUCUUGGAACAAAAAAAGAAGAAGUGAGACAAGUGUGCGAACAAUAAUAAUGCAAUUCCUGGGUUUGCAACUCAGAUUAUAGGGCAUAAUCAAACCGUAGCAGUUAGAAUUCUCAAAUUCUUAAACCAUUUUUGUUUCAUAAAUUAUUUUCAGAAAUACACAAAACGUCUAUGCAAUCUGGUUAAUAAAAACGGUGAAACAAAAAUAAAUCAGAUUCAUUCGAAAAAAUGUGUUUAAUCAGUAAUCUAAUUUCAGACCUACAACAGUAAUGUUUUAAAAAUGUUUUAAAAACAAUAGCCAAAAAAAAGUAGCAAUCUAAUUUCAGACCUAUGACAGUAAUGAUUUUGUUAUAUAUCGACAAUUUAUAACUUUGAGAGAGCUUUUAAACUGGGUAUGAGGUCCUCACUCUUACUUGUUUUCGAGAGGUCAUGCAAGAUCAUGUUUGAGCAAAGUUGACUCAAACACUACCCAACAAACAAACAAAAAGCUUGAACAUGAAAAAAAAAGUAUUAAUAUUUACAAUGAUUUCCAAAGUAUUAAAUAUUUAAAUGAUUAUCAUCAAAUGUAGUUAAAUAAAUAUUAAAAUAGUUAAAUUAUUAAAAUAAGGAACUAUGUAUAAAUUAAUAUGACAUCAAAUGUAAGAAAGUAAACCUUAAAUAACUUUACAACUAAAAAUAUUCAAAUCAUGAAGCAAAAUUUCUUUCCAUCACAAAAAAGCAAACAAUAAAUGAUAAAUUAAAUAUUUGGUUAAAGGUAAAUGGAGACAACAAACUCGAUUGGUACUUUCUCUUAAAUUCAAGUAUAAAAAUGAAAACUUAAUAAUUGUAAAACCAAACAAAAUUUAUACAGUAUUAAUUAUAAGUUUUACAAUUUUUUUACAUAAAAAUAAUAACCAAGAAAAGAAUAUAUAUAGAUCUUAACUAAUAAUUUAGUUAACUUUUUAUUAAUCUUUGCUAAUAUGAUUCUAAUAUCCUAUUUAAAUUUCCAAUAAAACACACAAACAAAUUCUAAUAGUUUUAAAUAUGCAUAUAUUUUUAUAAUUAUUCUUUAACCAGUUCCAGUAUAUAUUAUAUUUGUUCAUUUUUAAAAUAAAAAUACACAAAUUCAAUUAAUAUUAUAGGAAAAAAUCCGGGCGUAGCCCGGAAAACCCUCUAGUAUUUUUAAUGAUUUUGACUGAUGAAUCAUCAAUUUAGAUUUAUACUAUUAUUUAAAAUUUUAUCUUAUUUAGUCAUCAAUUAUUUAUUUAAUCUUAAUUUUAAAAUAGAAUUAAACUAAUAUUUAAAAUUAAUUAAUGUAAUCAAAUAAUAAAUCUAAAAACUGACAAAAAUUAUUUUAAAAUAAAAUUUAAAUUUAAAAAAAUAUUACUCUAAACAUAGUGCAGAAAAAUACCUAAUACAACUUCAUAUUGUAAGUGAACAUAAUGUUCAAGACAAAAAAAAAGUGGUAGUAAUAGCAAAAAGUAUAAAUACAAAGUAAACUAUAAAGGGGCCAUCAUAAAACUAACAAUUCUUCAAUAGUUAUAAGUUAGAAAAUAUUAUAUAGAUUCUUUAACUUAAAAAUUAGUUAUUUAUUAAUGGUAUCAACGUUUUUAACCGAUCUGACUUUUAAGGUGAGAGCUAAUAAAAAAAAAUUAAAUCAUUUUGCAAAUAAUAAAUAGAUAUAUUAUAUUUUAACAUUUAAAAGACACACAUAUAUUUCGAGGCUCUAAUCUUAUAGUACGGUUUUCAGAAUAAAUGUUGAUGAAGAACUAGAAGCCAUGGGUAAGAAAAUGGUCACAUAUUGUGGAGGACUACCAUUAGCCGUUAAAGUGCUGGAGGCUUGUUAGCUAAUAAAAACAUGGUUGAAGAGUGGAAAAGAGUAGAUGACAAUAUUCAAACUCAGAUAGUUCGCAUAGAUGACAACAGUCAAGAUUCGGUUUACCGAGUAUUGUCUAUGAGCUAUGAAGAUUUGCCCAUGCAGUUAAAGCAUUGCUUCCUAUACCUAGCUCAUUUUCCCGAAGAUGACAAGAUACAAGUACGGAUAUUGUAUAAUCUUUGGGAAGCAGAAGGAAUAAUAACGUCAAGUUGCGAUGGAGAAACCACUAGGAAAAUUGGAGAAGAAUACAUAGACGAGCUAGUAAGGAAAUAUGGUUAUUGCAGUAAAAGAUGAUUUGAGUUGCAAAUGGAAGUAUUGUCAAAUGCAUGACAUGAUGAGAGAAGUAUGUUUAUAUAAAGCCAAAGAAGAGAACUUUCUUCAGUUUAUCGAAGUACCUACUUCUUCACCUCUACCAUCAAUGCGCAUACUCCUACCAGAGCUCGCAGACUCGUAGUACACGGUGAUGGUAAUGCAUUUGAUAUGCUGGGACGUAAAAACAAUCAAAAAGCUAGAUCUGUUUUGGUUUUGGACUCGACAGCAACUUGUGGAAGCAGUCAGGUCAAGGAUUACGAAAUUUACAACUACUAGGGUCUUAGAUCUGAAUUUACAAACACAUGAUAGCGACUCUAGAGGAGGGAGAAUACCAUCCAGCAUUGGAAAAGCUCAUUCAUUUGAGAUAUUUGAGCUUACACAUGGGUCGUGCAACUCAUGUAGAGUUAAGGUCCCUGAUGCUUCCCUUUAUAUUGACGCUAAACAAAGUUGGAAUUGGGUAAUCUACUGAACCUAGAGUACUUGGUCGGCUUCCGACUUGAAUACGUAGCAUCACAGACUUCCUCCGAAUGAAAAGCUCAGGACUCUCGAGAUAUUUCUCAAAGGCAGGUAUACUUCUGAAAUUCUUGCGUCAUCUCUCUGUGAAUUAACAAACCUGGAGACGCUUAAAUUGAUCAAUGUGAACGGAUACGAUGAGGCUUAUGAUUUGGAUUUCGUUUGGAAUUUCAUUCAUCUAAGGCAUUUAGAGCUGGACAUACAUAUAACAAGGCUUCCUGAUCACUCUCGAUUUCCUCCCCACUUGCACACAUAUCUCUAUGUGACUGUAAAAUGGAGGAGGAUCCACUGCAGAUUCUGCAAAAGUUGCUUCAUUUAAAGUCGGUUGAAUUAUCAUAUAGUACUUUCGUGGGGAGGAAGAUGGUGUGUUCAAAAGGUGGAUUCCCUCAGUUAUGUAAGCUACAAAUACGGUUCCUGCACAACUUGGAAGAGUGGAUAGUCGAAGAAGGGUCGAUGCCAUGUCUUCGUACCUUGUCUAUUCGGUAUUGUAAGAAGUUGAAGGAGCUACCGGAAGGGCUCAAGUAUAUAACUUAUUUAAAGGAACUGGAUAUCAGACAUAACAACAAGGAGUGGAAGAAGAAACUCGCACCAGGUGGGGAAAGUUAUCACAAAGUCAAACACAUUCCUAGUGUUCAAUUAAACUAUCGUGGCAAUUAAUAAGGAGAAUAAAACUGUCUCAGGUAUAUAUUCUUUUUGGUAUAAUGUCAAUAUUGUUCAUUUUGUUGGUUAUGUAUCCUCCUUGAAGUUUAGUGUGAGUCUCAACUCUCUGUUAUUCGGUUUUCAGGUGAACCUACUCAGGAUCAGUACCCACCACUAUCGAUUGUGUGAUAUGAUAAUAAGUCGUUUUGUUGUAUGAAGUUUACAUAUCUUGUUUGUGAUAUAUUUCGUUUAUCUGUUUGCAUGCUCAUUCACUGUAAUACUAAGUUUGAAAUAUAUUUUGUAUGUUGAACCAUAUCUUCUUCGAUGUCUCCGUUGUGUGUGCUUAGUUGAUUUUCAUAGUCGGAACUGGAGAUAGAACGAUGGUUUUAUCAUGACAAAACGCAAGAACAACAACACAUAUAAAUUAGAUAUGUUGUAACAACUAUUUAAAAAAUUGAAUGAUGGAAACCCCAAAUUUGUUUAAAGAAAAUGAUGUUGAUAGUGGUUUUUGAAAAAAAAAAAGGAUUAUGAUGAACAAUAACAAUGAAAACUCAUUGUAAACACGCUUUAGAGAGCCAAACAAAUAAAUCAAUUCUAAGAUUUUUGGUGGAAAGGUAAUUUAAGAGGAGAUGGAAAACGAUAACAGGAAUGAGUCUUUAAAAACACACAUAUAUAUAGAUUGAUAAAGGAUGCUUCAUCUAAGAGUUGUAUUGUUUUGAGAUGGAGACUAUUCGGUGAAAAGAUGCAACGCACCGCAGUUUUGUUUUUUUAUAUCAUUAAAUUCAAUCAAAUAUGACUGUUGGACUUAAAACCUUUUUCUUUUAAAAAGUGACGAUAUCACCAGUUUUGGUAUGCUAUUAUAUAUAUAAUUUUUUUAUAAUGAAAAUAUACAAUUUUAAAAAUUAAUAAUAUUCAGAUUGUUAUGAAAAUAUACAAUUUAUAUAAUGAACAGACACAAUUUUUCAAACUAAUACAUUUCAGUUUUUUUUUAUGAAACAACACAACCAAAGUAGUUAUUUUGAAAAGACACAACUAUUUCGAUUUUUAGAAAAGAUACAACUUUUCAACAUAAGUAAGAUUCAUAACCUUUGAAAUUAAUCAGGAUUGCUAUUAUUAGUAGAUAAAAUAUUUGAUUUUAUCAUAUAUAUAUAUAUCUAUUAAUAAUAGCAAUCCCAAUUAAUUCAAAAGGUUGUGAAUUCUACUUAUGUUGAAAGGUUAUAUCUUUUCAAAAAUUAAAAAUUGUGAUUUUUCAUAUAAGUAUUAUUACAAAAAGACACAACUUUUUAAUUCAAACGAUGUGACUCUUCGAAUUUUUUUUUGAAAAUCUGUAAAUAAUCCAAUGUCCAUGCCUUCUCAAAGCAUAAUUUCCCUAAUCAAAUAAAAUGGUCACAUUCGUAGGGUUUUUAUAAAUACUUUAAAAAUAUAUAUAUAUUUAAAUAAAAAAAUGUGACUAUUUAUAGUUAAAAGUUGUGACUAUUUAUAUAAGUAUUAUCUCAAAAAGAACAACCAAUUAAUAUGAAAAGUUGUGAAUUGAUAGGUUGUGUUUUAAAACAUGUAACUCUACAAAAUAUUAGCUUUAAGAGUUGUGUUUUUUCAUCAUAAAUGAUAUAUUAGUUUUCAAAAGUUAUAAAAUAUUCUAUAAAGUAUCUUUGUACAAUUAUUUGUUUCUAGAGUUGUUUAUUAGUUAGUGUAAAUAGUAAUGUCUUUCUAUUGUAAAAGAAAACUAGAUUUUGACCCGCGCUUUUUAAGCGCGGGUUUUUUUCCGACAAAAAUAAAAGUUUAAAUUGAUUAUUAUUUUGUGUUCAUAUAAUUUUUUUAAGAUUAAAGUCACCAUGAUUUAUAUUGAUGUGAUCAAGCAUCUGCGUUUUUGAAAUUUGGUUGAAAUGUUUUUAAAAAUGAUGUUUGUUUGUCUAAUAGUAUAUGAAAUAUGAAGUGUAAAUAUAUAUAUUGGUAUUGGAAAGAUUGUUGCACACAACUAUAUAUAUAUAUAUAUAUUAACUAUCAAAAUUUAAAAAUAUAAAAGCAAAUAUAUAAAAGGAUUUAAUAUGUAGUUAUUAUAAAGCUAUAUUUUUUUCUAUACAUAGUCAAUAUUUAAAUUAUUGUUGAAAAUUAAAAUCUAAGUUUUUAAUUGCAGGUUUAUUAAUAUAGGUGUAAAAUGAGUUUUAAUAUAAACUAUGACAUUGUCAUAUAUACAUGAUACGUUUUUUUAUUUCACAUGUCCUAUUAGAAACAUACCAUAUAUAGGUCUAUUUAUUUAUACUGCUGGUACAUACGAUUUUAUAUAUACCUUUAUCAAAAUAUGCGAUAUUAUAAGGACUAAAAACCUUUUAACUAACGUUGAGUAAUAUAUGGUAAUAGGAGAAAUAAUAGGUAGACCAAUAUACUAUUAAUUAAAUAAAAGGGUGCAGUAACCUUGUUUAAGUAGAUUUCUCAAGACUGAUUCUCUUUUAAUAGAAUAGAUUUAGUUUUUAAAAAUAGUUAAGGUGUCUUUCUUUAAUAAAUAUCUUCGUGUCUUUCUAUUAAUCUUGUUGUAUUGUGUAACCUUGCAAUGUUUGGUUAUUAACAGUUGCAACUUUUAGUUUCUUAUAUAAAGAAUUUUGGAUUGCGACACAUCACAAAAAUUCAUUUACUUGAUUCACCCAAAACAUACAACAUUUUGUAUAUUUGUUUAUUUUAGAAUAACAACACUUGUGAAACAUAAAACAAGUGUUUCAAAACAUUUCGAUUGCAAAAAAGAAAAGAAAAUACCCAGUAUUCCUCAACAUGCAUACUGCAUAUAUAAUCUCAUACAUCACUCUCCUAAACUCUUUUUUCUUUGUUUUAUUUUUGUUGUAUUAUUGACUAGUAUAUAAUCUUAUAUUAAUAUUAUACUCAUGUGAUGAGAACUUCCCCCCCCCCCCCCCCCACCCCCCCCACCCUUUUCAAAAUUCGACCAAUUAAGUUGGUUCGUUGAAUCGUUAUCGAUUUUUAUAAAUUGGUUCUGCAACGGAUCAUCGUCCAUCGCGCAACACUCCAACCUCGUCUCCCAAGGCACGUUUACAGAUUUGUCAAGUCGUCAUGUUCUUCUGAUCUGAUAAAUGCGUAAUUUGAUGAACUCUUCUCUCGCCUAUUUGCGGUACUAUUAGGCAGAAGAACCCGUCGAUUUACGUCCCGUCACGACGGAUCUCCAGCGGAACUGCUGCGGCGACGCUGCGUUAUGCCACUGCUAUGAGAUCUUAUUCUACGUCGUUUAUGGAAGAGAGGGACACUUUCGGGCCGAUCCAAGUUUCUUCCGGUAAGUACAUGAUAUUUUUUUUUUUACCAUAACGUCUUGACUAUCUCAGUUCUCCAGUAUGUCUUAUCAGCCUUAUCUUUGUUGUCACUGUGUCAGAUUUUGGGGAGCCCAGACGCAGAGACGCUGCAGAACUUCGAAAUCGGUGAUGAGCACGAGCGUAUGUCCAAACCUAUCGUCUGCGGUUUUGGCGUCUUGAAGAAGUGCGUGGCCAAGCAUAGCUAUAAGUCUAUAACCAUAGGUUUUGUCUAAGUCAUGCACAUUGCCGCUGUAACUGAGAUUAAUUGAAGGCUCUUAUUCGUAAGACUGAUCAAAAAGCCAAUAAUGUGGCGGUGAUUUCAACCGGAAAGGAAGAUAAGUUCAAUUAUUAAGCUUCUAAAAAGUACAUAAAAACAUACCUUGACAAUCUAUGAUUAAGAGAUGAACGAAAAUGCAAUGCAGAUGAAUGAAGAGGUUGAAUAGAACGCAGAAAUCAGGAAUCAGAAAAAGAAAAUUGAAAAAAGGAGAUAAUUUGUAAACUGGUUAUCAAAAAUAUAAACGUAUGAAGAGGUGCCAACUAAGAGUCACAAUUUCAUUAAUGGAUAAAAGUCAGACAAUGCUUCACUACCGACAUACAACUUUGGUAGAGUCGUGUCUUAACUAAACCAUUGGAUUAAAAGGUUGCUAAUCUCAACAGUUUCCUGUUUUUUUUUUUGAAGAAAAUUACUAUAAGAAUAUGAAAUGGGACUUGGAACAAAAAAAAAGAAAAAAAAAAGAAAAGGGACUUCACUAACGACACAAAGCUUCAGUAGCGGUAGCGUCUCCUUUUUUUGUCAAAACAAAAAAAUUACUAAUCUGAACAGUUUCCUGUUUUUUAAAAGAAAGUUACUAUAAGAUUAUGAAAAGGGACUUCACUAACGACACAAAGCUUCGGUAGCGUCUCCUUUUUUUAGUCAAAUCAAAUGAUCAGCCCUUGGAUUAAAAGGUGUACUAAUUUCAACCAUUCCUUUAAACAAAAUUAUAAUAUAAAAAAAUGAUGUCAGAUAAAUACAAAUUUUGGUUUGCUAUUAUAUGUAGACCGUGUUUUUUUUGUAAUGAUAUAUCUUUUCAAUAUACAUUAUAUACAACAUUUUAAAAAAACUAUUUAUAAUUUGAAAAGUCGUGAUCAUUCAUAUACAUAUUUGAAAAACUAUAAAUAGCCCAUGUCCAUAAAUUUCUUAUUGUAAAUCUUUCAAAAAUUUAUUAAAAUGGCCAAAAAGAAAAGUUAUGUGCAGUAACCUGAUUACAAAUAAUUUGAAGAUAAUAGACGAAACGAUGUCAACAAAGAAUUGUAGCAAGGGUCAUUCAUGUUUGGCUAGUAAAAAAUUCUAAACGAGAUACUGAAGUUAUUAGUCUUAAUUUCUCUUCAACUAGAUGAAAAUGUGUGCUUUUAUUUCUUACAAAUUUUGCAUUUGUAAUGAUGUAUGUUCCAUGAAACACAUAUUAUGCAUGUCUUAUAUAUUCAUGUGCUAUAUAUUCUUACACUUGGGUUAUAUAAGAAUGUAUGAUCAUGUCACAAAAGCCGGUAAAUUUUAGUAACAUAAUAUUCUUAUUGAUUGUUGACAUUUUAUUUGAGUGGAUAUUUUUGUUUUACAAAACCAGUCAAUUAAUGUAUUUUUUUCUCAUUCUCUUGGGUUGUUUCAUAUUUGUGACAUCAAUAAUCAUUAUCAAUAAAAGAAUAUAGUUAUAUACAAAAUAAUUUUGUAACACGUGUAUUGUCUCAAAAUUAAUUGUAAACAAUUUUCAUAAAAAUUUAUUUUAUAAAAUAUAUUAUAUUUACUUUUAUGAAAUGAGUUCCCGUGCGAUAUCGCACGGGUUCCUUACCUAGUAUUAACAGUGGCGGUUCUACUAAGCUCAAGAAGGUGGCACUUGCCCCCUAUAAAAUCAUUAAAUUCUUUUUAACUUACCCAAAAUUUUGUUACAUACGUUUACUGAAAAUCAUGUUUUAUUUAUAUAGUUGUAUUUACAUAUGAUUUGCCCCCAGUAAAAUUUUGUUCUACAUCCGCCCCUGUAUAUUAAUUAACUUUUAGAAAUCCGACAUUUAUAUUUUUUUGUUACACUAUUUGGUGUAUACAAAAUAUGUUUUAUAGAAUUUAAAAUGUAUUUUUAUAUAUAAUUUUACGAAAUAUUAUCAAAAUAUAUUGAAAUGUUAAGAAAAAAUAGAAAUGAACUUCAUUUGUGAAUAUAAAACAAAUAAUACAAUGUUUAAUGUUUGUACUUUAUGUGUUUAUUAAUUAUAGAAUUUUUACUGCAUAUUGUUAUAAAUAUAUAUAUAUAUAUAUUUUAAAAACAUUUGAAAAGACUAAACACACUAUUAUUUCAAGACUCUGAUCUUAUAACGUGUGUUACUAUUUUCAGAAUUUGAUGUUGAUGAGGAACUAGAAGCCAUGGGUAAGGAAAUGGUGGCAUAUUGUGGAGGACUACCAUUAGCCAUUAAAGUGUUGGGAGGCUUGUUAGCUAAUAAAACCAUGGUUGAAGAGUGGAAAAGAGUAGAUGACAAUAUUCAAACUCAGAUAGUUCGCAUAGAUGACAAAAGUCAAGAUUCUGUUUACCGAGUAUUGUCUAUGAGCUAUGAAGAUUUGCCAAUGCAGUUAAAGCAUUGCUUCCUAUACCUAGCUCAUUUUCCCGAAGAUGACAAGAUACAAGUGGACAGAUUAUAUUAUCUAUGGGCAGCAGAAGGCAUAAUAAAGUCAAGUGGCGAUGGAGAAUAACGAGUCAAGGUCCAACCGGGCAAUCCGGUUUUCAAAACACUAGUCAUCACCAUAAUGAUUCUUUUUUUUAGAGAAAUAUGUUAGCCAUCUAAACAUAUAAUAUAAUACUCAUUAAACUAAGUAUUAAAUUAAUUAUUAAUGUACAAAACAUAUUAUUCCUUCUUUGCUUAAGUAUAAGCUACAAAAUUACAUAAUGUGAUAAAUAUAUAUAAGGAGUUUUCUUGCGCCAUGCGCAAAUAUACUAAUUUUUAGCUAAAUUUUUAUUUAUUUUAUUUUAAAUAAAAAUAAAUUUACGUUUUCAUACUAUUAUUUUUAUAUUUUAAAUUCAUCGGUCUGGAAAAGAGUGAAAUCACAACUAUUUUUUUGUAAUUUUGUUUCAUUUGAUUUGUUUUAUUUAUUUUAAUUUUAUUUUAUAUGAAUUUUAUUGGAGAAGAAUUAUAUUUUAUAUAACUUUGAAUUUUAUUUAUUUAUAUUUAGUGAUUAUUUAUUUUGAAUAUGUUUCUUAUCCUCUAAGUGUAUAAAUUUUAAUAAUGAUUGGGUUUCUGUUUAAAUGUAUAGCUAAUAUGUUAAACUUGUAAACUCAAUUUCUUAAUUAAUCAAAUAAACUAAUGGAUGCUACUAAAAUUUUAAACAUUUAAUCAUCCAAAAAAAUUGAUUAGCAUUGCUUUAGUUUUGUGUUCCCUAAUGCACACUUACACUUUAUUUUAAUAAAAUAUAAAAUAUAUAUAGAAAAUAUGAUAAAUAAGUUAAUUUAAAAUUAAAAUAUAAUUAUAUUUAGUUUAUUUUUAUAAAUAUGAUAUAUAUAAUUUUAUUUUAUUUCAAUGGUGAUAUAUGAAUUAUUAGUUAUUAAUAUACUUUAAAAGUCUUGCCAAAAUAAACAUUUACACAGAAAUGCUAACUUCUAAAUAGUGAUAUAAACAUUAUUAGUCAUUACCAUUUUUAUAAAUUCUUACUAAAAAUAUAUAGAUUUGUAAAAGUUAUUAUUAUUACCAUAUUUAAAAGUCUUUAACAAAAAUAUAAAUUUUUAUAAGAAAAUUUUCAUGUCAAAUUAACUUGAUCUCAUGUCAUUAUUUUCUAAAAACAUGUCAUUUUUUUGGGUGAGAAUGAACACUGUGAUGACAUGUGUACAAAACCACUUUGCAAUUAAUAUUUAGGAGAUACUACAAUCAAUGACUUUGAAUAAUAAUGAUUUGAUAACAAUUUGUGUAUCAUCCAUCAUCUUUAUUUAAUUUUAAAUUAUUAAAAUAAAUUAAUUAAUCAUAUUAAUCAUCUAAUAAAAAAUAGAUUUUCCUUAUAUUUUGAAUUUUAAAGAUGACUAUAAAUUACUAAAAUUGUUAAAAUUAAUGGUUUAAUUUUAUUAUUAUAAUAAGAUACAAAUGAUCAUAAGAACUUAUGAAUAUGAAAUUUCAUUUAAUAGAACUGUAGAUUAAAAUAUAUAUAUAUAUAUAUAUAUAUAUAUAUAUAUAUAUAUUUUAAUAUCGUUUAAAUUUAGCUGUAUAUAUAUAUAUUUUUUUUUCUGAACAUUUGAAAAGACUAGAGACAUUAUUUCAAGGCUCUAAUGUUAUAAUAUGUGUUACUGUUUUCAGAAUUUAUUGUUGAUGAAGAACUAGAAGCCAUGGGUAAGAAAAUGGUCACACAUUGUGGAGGACUACCAUUAGCCGUUAAAGUGUUGGGAGGCUUGUUAGCUAAUAAAACCAUGGUUGAAGAGUGGAAAAGAGUAGAUGACAAUAUUCAAAGUCAGAUAGUUCGCAUAGAUGACAAAAGUCAAGAUUCUGUGUACCGAGUAUUGUCUAUGAGCUAUGAAGAUUUGCCAAUGCAGUUAAAGCAUUGCUUCCUCUACCUAGCUCAUUUUCCUGAAGAUGACAAGAUACAAGUGGACAGAUUAUAUUAUCUAUGGGCAGCAGAAGGCAUAAUAAAGUCAAGUGGCGAUGGAGAAACCACUUGGGAAAUUGGAGAAUACUACAUAGACGAGCUAGUACGGAGAAAUAUGAUUAUUGGAGUAAAAGAGGAUUUGAGUUGCAGAUGGGAGUAUUGUCAAAUGCAUGACAUGAUGAGAGAAGUAUGUUUAUAUAAAGCCAAAGAAGAGAACUUUCUUCAGUUUAUCGAAGUCCCUACUUCUUCCAUCUCCACCAUCAAUGCUCAUACUCCUACCAGAUAUCGCAGACUCGUAGUACACGGUGGUGGUAAUGCAUUUGAUAUGCUGGGAUGUAAAAACAAUAAAAAAGUUAGAUCUGUUUUGGGGUUUGAACUCGACAGCAACUUGUGGAAGCAGUCAGCUCAAGGACUCAGAAAUUUACAAUUACUUAGGGUCUUACAUCUGAGUUUAGAUUAUAAAAGCGACUCUAGAGGGUGGAGAAUACCUUCGAGCAUUGGAAAACUCAUUCAUUUGAGAUAUUUGAGCUUAGACAUGGGUUGGGCAACUCAUGUACCUUCUUCUUUACGGAAUCUAAAGCUUCUAAUCUAUUUGAGAAUUUCCUCCUGGGGACUGGAAAGAGUUCAUCUGCCAAGUAUCUUUAACGAGAUGGUACAGUUGAGGGUCCUGAUUCUUCCCCGUUCUUUUGACGCUAAAACAAAGUUGGAAUUGGGUAAUCUCGUGAACCUGGAGUACCUGAUCGGCUUCCGAUCAGAAUACGGUAGCAUCACAGACUUCCUCCGGAUGAAAAAGCUCAGGACUCUCGAGACCUGGAGAAGCUUACAUUGAUCAAUGAGAACAACAAAUCCGAUGGGGUUUAUGAUUUGGAUUUCGUUUGGAAUUUCAUUAAGCUAAGGCAUUUAGUGAUAUGGAUGCAUAUGCCAAGGCUUCCUGAUCACUCUCGAUUUCCUCCCCACCUUGCACACAUAUCUCUAAUUAACUGUAAAAUGGAGGAGGAUCCACUGCAGAUUCUGGAAAAGUUGCUUCAUUUAAAGUCGGUUGAAUUAGGUUACAGAUCUUUCGUGGGGAGGAAGAUGGUGUGUUCAAAAGGUGGAUUCCCUCAAUUAUGUAAUCUAGAAAUAGAGUUACUAAACGACUUGGAAGAGUGGGUAAUCGAAGAAGGGUCGAUGCCAUGUCUUCGUACCUUGUCUAUAUGGUUCUGUGACAAGUUGAAGGAGCUACCGGAAGGGCUCAAGUAUAUCACUUCUUUAAAGGAACUGGAAAUCAUACAUAAGAACAAGGAGUGGGAGACGAAACUCGUACCAGGUGGGGAAAGUUACCACAAAGUCCAACACAUUGUUACCACUAUGAUGGCGACGAAUAAGGAGAGUAAACCGGUCUCAGGUAUGUUUUUUUGGUAUAAUGUCAAUAUUGUUCUUCUUGAAGUUUUGUGUGCAAGUCUCAACUAUCUAACCUUUUUAUUAUUCGGUUUUCAGGUGAACCUACUCAGGAUCAGUACCCACCACUACCGAUUGUGUGAUAUGAUAAUAAGUCGUUUUUGUUGUAUUGGUGUGUGAAGUUUACAUAUCUUGUUUGUGAUAUAUUCCGUUUAUCUAUUUGCAUGCUCAUUCACUGUAAUGCUAAGUUUGAAAUACAUUAUUUGUAUGUUGAACCAUAUCUUAUUCGAUGUUCUCCGUUGUGUGUGCUUAGUUGACUUGUAUAGUUACCGAACCGAACCUGAGUUUUCCAAAUUUGUCUUUUACUACUAAACCGGACAAAUUGAUGGUUUAAAAACAAAACUCGGUCUGGAUUAUAAUAAAAUCAGAUCAUGAGAGACUACCAAACAAGAGAGUCCUUUCGAUCUCUGCAAAUUUGUUUUUGACUCUAAUUAAGAGGAGAAGAAGUGUACUAGUUGAAGCGAAGAAUCCAAAACGCGGUGAUCAAUCGCCAAACGUAUGCAUAACUGGGUUAGAGCUUCCUCUUCCGAUCUCACGGGAACUCCUCCACAGCCUAGGAGGUAAAUUAAUUACUUCUUCUCCAUUCAAUUUUCGAUUUUAAUUUCAGCUGCUGAUUUUUAUUCUUCAAUCAGUGGACAUACAGCUGUCAAUGUCGGAAAAUCCAUGGUCGUGGUGUUCGGCGGUCUCGUCGACAAAAAGUUCCUCAACGACAUCAUUGUUUAUGACAUUGGUAAUAUCAUACUUCAGCCUAGGAUUAUUGAUUCCUUGAUCCAAAGAAGAUGCUUUUUUUUUAAAUUUCCCUUGAGUUACUGUCUUCGCUUGUAAUAUAAAGACUAGUGUUUCUUGUAGUUUAUUGUGUGUUAAGCUUAGUUAGGCUAAUGCGUACAUCAAAGAUAGAGUUACUUUGCAAAAAAAAAACUGUAGAAAACUGAAAACUUCACCACUAAAAUUAUUAGACUCACUAUAGGAUACUCUCUUUCUUAUUCCGCAUGGCAUUGUUUUAAGUACCAGUGAAAUUAGUUUCUUUACGGUCUGCUAGUAUAUGUGGUGGUUAUAUCAAGUACAUAGUUUCCUAUCCAGCUUUUUUAAUCGGUUUGUCUUAUGAUUUGCUUCUUCUUUAUCCUGUCGACUAGAAAACAAACUCUGGUUUGAGCCAGAGUGUACUGGCAGCGUUUCUGAAGGAAAAGUUGGCCCUACACCUCGCGCCUUUCAUGUUGCCAUAACAAUUGAUUGCCAUAUGUUCAUCUUUGGUGGACGUUCUGGUGGCAAGAGGUACUCACUACUAUAUAUUUUCUAGUUAGAAGCGUUUUUACAUUUCUACUUUCACCGGAAUAGCUUAUUUCUAGAAAUAAAUCAAUUUCAGAUUGGGUGACUUCUGGGUUCUAGAUACAGGUAAGUGUACAAUCAUAACAAUGUCAGUGACAUUAUGUCACUGAGACCUGCCUGGGAACUUUUUAAUACCCUGCUGCUGACAUUUUCUGCAGAUAUAUGGCAGUGGUCUGAGCUAACCAGCUUUGGCGACUUACCUACACCUCGUGAUUUUUCUGCUGCCGCUGCUAUUGGCAACCAGAAAAUCGUGUUGUGAGUAUCUGAAAUUUUAGACGUUCCAUCAGCUUGUUUCCUGCAUUGGCUUAGCCUAUGAUUAUUGGCAGGUGUGGCGGCUGGGAUGGUAAAAAAUGGCUGUCAGAUGUGUAUGUUAUGGAUACAAGUAAAACUUUAUACCUCUCGUCUACUUCAGUUUUGUAAUAAACUGUUUUUAAGUUUCUGAUAAUGUCAGCUUGCUUUGUAUUUGCUAGUGUCCCUUGAAUGGAUGGAGCUGUCGGUUUCGGGGUCGUUACCGCCUCCUAGAUGUGGUCAUACAGCCACCAUGGUUGAGAAACGUUUACUUGUUUUUGGUGGCCGAGGUAUAACACCAGAACCAGAAUCUUUGUUUUGCUUGAGCUGAUGACAACUAAACUGAGACUAUGGUUAUCUUUGACAGGAGGUGGUGGCCCUAUCAUGGGUGAUCUUUGGGCUUUGAAGGGUUUAAUAGAUGAAGGUUCAUCCUUACUUAAAUUCUUAAAAAUUGCAUUGUUAUGUUAUGUUUGCUAAUCUUAUUGUGGUUUACCUUUGUUGUGGAAGAAAGAACGUGAAACACCUGGAUGGACCCAACUAAAGCUUCCUGGUCAAGCACCAUCAGCUCGAUGUGGUCACACUGUCACAUCCGGAGGACAUUAUGUAUGUCUAUUUCAGCUUCCGUUUGCUCUUUUGUAUAAAUAGGUUCGCAUGACAUACAUCACUCACAUCAUUAAUUUUCAUGUAUGAAGCUUCUGUUAUUUGGGGGACAUGGAACUGGUGGAUGGCUGAGUCGUUAUGAUGUCUAUUAUAAUGACACUAUAAUUUUAGACAAAGGUAAAUUCUUGCUUAUGAGAUUCGUCACUCUAAAUUUAUAUAUUCACAUUCUAGUAACUGCUCAGUGGAAGCGCUUACCGAUAAGCAAUGAUGAGCCUCCUCCACCUCGAGCUUACCAUACAAUGACUAGUAUUGGAGCUCGUCAUCUUUUAAUUGGUGGUUUUGAUGGAAAAUCAACCUUCGGUGAUCUUUGGUGGUUGGUUCCUGAAGGUAUCUUUCUCUUAUUUUAUACUGAUGUUUUAGUCCAACUUAGCUAUCGUUCUGUGUACACGCAUCAUCAGUUACUUAUAGUUGGAAACUCUUUAGGCAAUUGUAGAGACACUUAAUUUCUAGCAUAAUCUUUUUUUUUCUUCUUUAUCAAGUUUGUAUUGAAAGUUUUGAAGUUUUACUGAACUGUUUAGCCUUCUGAAAAUGUUGUUAUUCGUUUUUUUUCUUUUUUUCUUUUCUCAGAUGAUCCCAUAGCCAAGAGGUCUUCCGUACCUCAACUUAGAAACCCUCCUGAGACUAAAGAGUCAGAGAGAGAUUUGGAUACGGUAACUGUGGUUCCUGCUCAUCAUCUUAUGUGUUUCUCGCCAAUGCAGUUAAAUUAGCUUUUCAACGUGUUUUAACACCAAGAGUUUGGUCACAGCAGGAAAGAGGACAAGAGGGAUUCACUAUCGUCGACUUGCAAAAGAAAAUGGGAAUCUCUGUUGCAUCAGGGUUACUACGCCGUCAUAUCCCCGAGGAGUCAGAAGAUCAAGAGUUCGUUGAGUUAGGAACCAGAUUGAUUGAGGGAGAUGUAAUUGAUAAUCGAACCUCCAUGAUUCAGGUUAAUUUUUCCUCUUGUCUUUUUCAGGAUGUGUGAUUGUGUUAUUCUUGUACUGAAAAUGCUUCUCAACGAUUAGAUGGCAGCUGAAGCACUUCGUCAACAUUGGAAAGAGUCCACUCCUGAGACUUUGCAGUUAAAAGAGCUUAAUGCCUUGCUUCGAGAUUAUCAGCGACUUGUUUCCCGAAAAUACACGUGAGUUCUUACAUUAUCUUGUUUAUGUAGAUUAUCUUUUAUUUCAAUAAAAAUGGUUGUUCUUUGAUUGCGCUUGGAAUGGCAUUAGAAUAACUUAGAUAAAUCUCCUGAGAGUUUAGGAGUGUUAUAUAGAGUUAAUAUCAAUAUCAUUUUUUGUGUCUUGAAUAGCCCUUGAGACUUUUUAAUCCAAGAAUUGCCAAAACUGAUUCAUUUCUUAAUGUUGUGCAGUCCUCACAUAAAAGUUGAUUGUAAAUGCAUCGCUUUGUACCCCUUUGAAAAGUAUUAAACAUCAUGAAAUUUCACAUUUGAUUCUUCCUUUCCGUCACACAUGUUUGUUUUCGUUGUUGUGGCGUGAGUCUCAGAGCACAGAGCAGCUUAACAUCUACUGAUUUUGGCCUCCCCGGAAAGCAGACGUUUACGUUUUAUCAUAUCAAAACUUCUUCCGAGGUAAUACCACAUACUUUCCUCCUGUUAUGAGCUCUCUUGAACAUUUGACAGCAAUCAAUCAACACAUCAGGCUCUUGGCACAUGCUCUGACAUGUCAAUUUAACAUUUUGUUAUUCUCAGUUACGGAUGGAUGACAUCCCGAAGUUGCUGGAAGAAUACAAAACCCUUGUAAUCUGAUUGAGGAGCUCUGCCAUGAAACUCACAAGGAGAAUACAAAACUCAUCAAGUAGCUGCCAAGAAGAUCACCAAGAUUGCUAUCAGCACUACCAUUGCAAACAACAAAACUAAAAAAAGUCUCAACAGAAUCAUAUAUCUGAUAGACAACAAGACAUGUACAACUUCUUUUUAGUCAAGAACAAAAACAUGUACCCAUAUGUAAGAUUUUCCAUUAUCUCCACUUAAUCCGUAUCUCAGCGUCUGCUCUUUAUUUUUCUAGCCUCUUGCAUUUUACUUUGAAAAUAGAUUGAUUUGCCUUGAAGCUAAUGUUCGAACCCCGAUCCAUCUUUGAGCAACUGUUUUAGUUCCGUGUCUAGGAGACCAGUGUUCUGCACUAUCGAAUCUUGGUCUCCUACUUGAGAUGUGAUGCUUCCAUACAAUGUCCAGCCACUGGCGUUGCCUAGUAAUUAAUAUCAUCUCCACCAUAUCAAUAUUUGCUGCAUCCCCUCCUCCAUAAGAAACAUAAAAUAUAAAAGUUAGGUAGCUCUAAAACACUUCUGAUCAUAACAAAAAUUAAGAUCUAAACCACACUUGAUGAUUACGUAAGUUUGUUCGUAAUUUUUACCAAUCUUUGGUAUGAGGAACUGGAGAAAAGAUUCCAAAUAGACUGAGGAAGAAGGACAUGCAGAUUUCAGAGAUUUGAUAGUUUGGUGUCAAGGCCACAAAGCAUCAAGCUUGUUAACAUGUCGUAGUAGUAGAACCAGAAGAACUUGACCACAGUACGGUCGUAUCCUAUCAUUGAGUAAAGGAUUAGAGUAUGUAAACUCUAGUUUGAAUGGUGUCAUACUACAUGAUCUAAUAACUUUGUCUAUAUUACCAAUUUUCCCAAUUAAUUAUUUCUAACGAAAAUAUAAUGUAUAAAUAUCAAUGAAUAUAUUUUGAAAGUUGAAAAUAAGAGAGAAAUUUUUUUUUACCAAAAAGAAUAAUAAGGGAGAAACUAUAGUGAAUGUUUCGAGUGGGCCUAAAGCAAAUGCAUUAUUGCCUUGCGAAAAAAUCAUUAUCGCCAGAGACUAGAAAAAAACUCCUAUUUUCUUUUUAAUUCAAAAUUAGAACCACAAGAUGACUGUCAUAGACUGUCGAUACUCUUUCAUUAUUUUUUCUUCCAAAGAACGUCGCUAAGCAAGUUGCAGAUCUGUUACAUGUAAGGUAAAUCACGUUCUUGUAUCAUUAUUUGUCUGUUUAACUUGCUCUGAUCUGUCUUUUGGGCUCUGUGGUGGUUGAAUCUGAAUUUAAAAACAAAAAUUCGUUGCAUUGUUACAAAUCUUGUUUUACGAAUUUAAAGCAUUUAAUCAUCAAUGCUUGAAUAAAAGUAAGUUAAGUAAAGUUCCUCUGACAGGUAUCAUGUUUUAUUAGAUCAACCAAGGAUUAUCAUAACCGGUUUUAAAUCUUACUAUACAAGUUUGUACUCAUAUGUUGACGGUGGAACAGGAGAAUAGCGAUGGCUGAGGGAAUUGUAUCGUUUGGAGUGCAGAGACUCUGGGAGCUCUUGGCUCGAGAAUCUGAGAGACUGCAGGGAGUUCAUGAGAAAGUUGAUGAUCUAAAAUGUCAGAUGAGAAUGUUACAGUCGUUGUUGAAAGAUGCAGAUGCCAAGAAACAUGGGAGUGAAGUAGUGAGAAACUUCUUGGAAGAUGUCAAAGACAUUGUUUUUGAUGCUGAAGAUAUAAUUGAAUCCUUUCUUUUGAAAGAAUUGAGUGGAAACCAAAAAGGGAUCAAGAGGCAUCUGAAAAGACUUUCUUGUUUCUUAGUGGAUCGCCGAAAUAUUUCUAUGGACAUUGAAGGCAUAACUAAGAGAAUGUCCAAGCUUGUCGAGCAAAUGCAGAGCUUUGGAAUACAACAGAUCGUCUACAGAUCACCGUCUCUACAAGAGAGACAGAGGGAAAUCCAACAAACAUAUCCUGAGAAAUCUCAAAAGGAUCUUGUGGCCGUGGAACAGAGUGUUAAGGAACUGGUUGGUCAGUUGGUGGAGAAUGAUCGCAUCCAAGUAGUUUCCAUAUCCGGGAUGGGUGGUAUUGGAAAAACCACUCUUGCGAGACAAGUCUUUCAUCAUGACAUUGUUCGAAGUCAUUUUGAUGGAUUCGCGUGGAUCUGCGUUUCGCAAGAUUUUAAGCGGAAGGAUAUUUGGCAAAAGUUAUUGCAAGACCUUAGACCACAUGAUAAGGGCAUCGAACAUAUGAAUGAGAAUACACUCCAGGCUGAGCUCUUUCACUUGUUGGAGACAUCUAAAUAUUUAAUUGUCAUGGAUGAUGUAUGGAAAAAAGAAGACUGGGAUAUAAUAAAACACGUUUUCCCCCAAGAAAGAAGAGGUGAGCUCUCUAAUUGUACAUACAUUACUUAAGAACUCUCCAUAGCUAUUUCAUAAAUACCUUUUCAGUCUCUGAGAUGAAAGGAAAUACAAUUGCAGGUUGGAAGAUGAUUCUUACUUCACGUGAUGAAAGUGUUGGUUUCCAUGCAGACCGAACAUGUUUUCCCUUUAGACCAAAAACUCUUACUCCUGAAGAAAGUUGGAAGCUAUGUGAGAGCAUAGCAUUCCCUAGAAGAGAGAUAACAGGUACGUUUUUAAUACAAGAAUCAUAUGAAUCAUUAAGGCCAAAAAGCAUGAUAUCUCUUACAUGCCUUCUUAUAAAAAAACUUGUGUAGUAAUUCCCAAAUUAUCGUCUCUGGAAUGACAUACACUAAAAACUCUAUAAAUUAAUAAUACUAAAACUAUGAAAUUUUAUUAAUUUAUAGAAUUACUAAUUUUUUCAAAGUUUCAGUUUUAGAUUUUUUUUACACUAUUUUUAUUAUAAAAACUAGGUAAGGAACCCGUGCGAUAUCGCACGGGAACUCAUUUUAUAAAUUGAUAGUAAAGAUAUACACAUUAAAAAAUUAUGCAGAAUUUAAAUUAUUAUCUUGAACUUAUUUUAAUAAGAUUACAAAUAUGUCACGUUGUGGAAUUUAUACUUUUGUAUAAAACAUCUUAUUGUGCUAUCAAAAAAAGUUCAUGUGACAUUAAUGUAAAACUAAAAUAAGGAGAAAAUACAUAUCUUUUGAUUUUCCAUAAAAUUAAAAAAAUAUAUAAUAUAAGUAAAUUGAGAAAUAACCACAAACCAUAUCAAUAAAAGUAUUCAAAAUGAAAAGACACAUAGUUUCAUAUAUCAUAUAUUGUUUUACUGAAAAUAUUUGUCAAAUAACUUAUUAGUGACAAUAUUUUAUUUGUUUCAAUUAUUGUUAUACCAGCCAAAAUAGAACUAAUUAUAUAUUAAUUUACUUUUUAUAGUAACAAUAAACUCUUGACUAACAAAACUUUCACUAAAAUGACAGUAGGACAUUGUCUUCAGCCUCAUUGUCAAUUUUAUUUUCAUGUAUACUAUAUUUAAUAUCAAUUUUCUUUAAAAUAAAAUUAUCAUUUUAUGUAUUCAGAAUAACUAACAAGUUACAAUAGAUUUAACUAAUUCAGUUGGUUAUUUAAUAGAAUCUUUGAAAUAUAUUUGUUAACAUUAUAAAAGACUAUGUAUAUGAACCAUCAUAGGGAAUCAACUUUACUCAAUAUAUAUAUAUAUAUAUAUAUAUAAUAACUUUAAUGUUCUGUUUAUAUUUUAUUAGAAUAAAUAUUGUUUACAACUAUGCCUCCAUCUUUUUAAGUUUAUUCUUAUAGUUUUACAUGAUAUUUAGCUCCAACAACUUCUUGAACUACUUUCAAUUAUUUUCCGUGAUAUUUAAAUAAUUUUUCCUAUUUAAGAGACAAUAUUAGAAUUAUCAGUUUGUAGUAUAUUAAGAAAAUUUAUAUUUCUAUGUUGGUAAAAAUAGUUAUUAUUUUUAUAAAUUUAUUUACCUGCUCUAUUUUUGGGAAAAAUAUUAAGGAGAUUGGAUAUCAUAAUAAAUAUAUGUUGACUUAAGUUGAUAUGACAUUUCUCACUUAUAUUAUUUCCUUUAAUUUCCGGAAGAGUUCUUAUAAAACACCAGCACUUAUUAUAUUAAAACUAACAUAAUAAUUAUGGAUUUAAAUCAUGAUGACUUUUGUUGUAUCAAUAAAUAAUAUUUUUGAAGUCAAGGUUGUAUUGAGAUAUAAAUACUGUAGAACUCUAUCGGUUUCUCAAUCAAAUUUCCAAGCUUAGACUAAGAUAUAAGAAUAACAAAUAGAGCUAUGCAUGUUCAUAUGUAUUUGUUCAAAAAUCUUUGAAAAUAAUUUAACAGUGAAUCUCUAUCUUUUCUAAUCUAUAGAUUGUUGUCAUUUUUUUUGUGAUUUUUCUAUUCCCACAACAACUUAUAUAGAUGACUAAAGGUUACAAUGGUUGAUACCAAACAUUGCAAUGGUUAGAUAAUAGUUGCAAUAAUUAACAUCAGAAGUUACAAUGGAUUAUCACCAAAUACUACAAUCACUAACAUUGCAAUGAUUUAUUACCAAAGAUUGCAUUGGUUCUUCACUAAAAUUAUUGUCACCAACAGUUGCAGCGAUAUCUUUAGACAUUUUGAUAACUUUUUUUAACAAAUAAAAAAAUUUAGGAUGAAAAACACAUCCUUAUACAUUUUAACAACAUCUUUUAAACCAAUUUAAUUCCUAAAAUGAAAGUAACAUUUUUAAGAUGAAAGGAUCCAUACUUAUAUUUUUUACAAUAUUUUUUGAAGAACGCAAUUUUUAAUAUGAAAAGACACAUUGUUAAGAUCAAAAAUUAUAACCAUUGAUAUUUAUUUGGAGAAAAUAUACAUUUUUACACAUUUUGAUAAUUUUUUAACAAAUGAAAAUUUAGGAUGAAAAGACAUAUUUUAUACGUUUUAGGAACUUACUUUAAACCAAUGCAAUUCUUAAAAUGAAAUGACAUAUUAUUAAGAUGAAAAGUUACAUACUUAUAUAUGUGACAACAUUUUUUAAAGUAGUGUCAUUUUUAAGAUGAAAAGACACUUCGUUAGGAUGAAAAGUUACAACCUUUGACAUUUAUUUGGAGAAAAUAUAUAUUUUUAGACGUUUUGACAACUUUUAUUAAGAAAUACAGUUUUUUUUAGGAUUAAAAGAUACAUCUUUAUACAUUUUAACAAUUUCUUCAAAACAAAUGCAAUUCGACAAUGAAAAGACACAUUGUUAAGAUGAUAAUAUUUUUACUUAUAUAUUUGACAACAUUUUUUUAAAGCAAUGCCAUUUAAAUGAAAAAUAAUACUUUGUUAGGAUGAAAAAUUACAACAUUUAACAUUUAUUUUUUAACAAAUGCAAUUUGUAGGAUAAAAAGACACAUCCUUAUACAUUUUAACAACUUCUUUUAAACCAAUGCAAUUCUUAAAAAUGAAAAGACAUACUUUUAAGAUGAAAAGAUACAUACUUGUAUUUUUUUAGGACAUUUUUUAAUAAGAUAAAAAGACACUUUGAUAUAAUGAAAAGUUACAAUUUUUGACAUUUAUUUGGAUAAACCACAUCUUUAGACAUUUUGACAACUUUUUUUAAUAAAUGCAAUUUGUAUGAAACUUAUACUUAUACACUUUGACAAUUUCUCUUAACCCAAUGCAAUUUUAAAAAUAAAAUAAAAUGUACUAAUAUAUUUUAACGACACUUUUAAAACAAUGCUCUUUUUAAGAUGAAAUGACACAUAAUUACAAAGAGACACUUUUUGAGAUAUUUUAAUAAUUUUUUAAAAAAUUAUCUUAUAUAAUGAGAAGACACAAUUUUAAAACUAAUAUUUAUAGAAAAACACUUAUUAGGAUAUUUUAACAAAUUUUAAACUAAUAAUUUUACUUAUAGUCUAAGAAAUUCAACCUAUAAUAGUUUUGAUCUUGAGACUUCUAGUUUACAGAUGUGUAAACCAGUAAAUAGCCAUUUAAAUUUAAUUGAAUGCAAGACAAGAUUGAUAAAAGUCAACUACUUAUGUUCGCUAAAUAUCUUGGAAAAAGGUUCUAAAUUUAAAUUGUUAUUUUCCUAUAUAUACGUAACGACACAAGUGAUAAAAGAUGCUACUUUUGAUAAAUAAAUGGUCAUUAACGAAAUAUAGAUGCAAAUAACUAAAAAUAAAUAAAAAAUUUGUCAGAUUUGUUUGUUGUCAAAGAAAUUGUAAGAUGUGUUUUGCCUUUAGUUUUCGUUAAGAAUUGAAUAUAUUUAAAACUCUAGACUUUUACAUCAUAUUUGUUUGUCUCUAACCAACAAUUGAUAUGUUUCCGAGAAAUAAUAUAUAAAUAAAAAGAUCUUUUAAUGAGUUUUAUAAUCUCAGUAGUUCGCACAUCUCCAAACCAGGCAGUAGAAAACAAUGUAAAUUUGCAAUUCAUGAGUGGACAAUUAUAUUAUUUUGUGAACAAUUAUAUUGACAUGGGGGAUUCCUAAGUUUAAAAUGUGACACCUAUGCAGAUUUAAAUAUUCCAGUGGAAUUAAACCAUUCCCAUUAAAAAGAAAUUGAUGAUAAUUCCCACGAGAAUAACACUCUCCAAUUAAGAGACACAUUGUUUGAUUAACUCAUGACGGUCAUCACCAACCGGUUUUCCUCUAAUAGAUUUACUGAAUGACAGACAACCCAUUUUUUGUACAUCGUAAUUUGGAAAGCAUUAAUCUUAGACUCUGACAAAACGCAAGAACAACAACACAUAUAAAUUAGAUAUGUUGUAACAACUAUUAAAAAAAUUGAAUGAUGGAAAUCCUAAAUUUGUUUAAAGAAAAUGACGUUGAUAGUGGUUUUUGAAAAAAAAUAUAUGGGAUUAUGAUGAACAAUAACAAUGAAAACUCAUUGUAAACACGCUUUAGAGAGCAAAACAAAUAAAUCAAUUCUGAGAUUUUGGGUGGAAAGGUAAUUUAAGAGGAGAUGGAAAACGAUAACAGGAAUGAGUCUUUAAAAACACACACAUAUAUAUAGAUUGAUAAGGAAUGCUUCAUCUCAGAGUUGUAUUGUUUUGAGAUGGAGACUAUUCGGUGAAAAGAUGCAACACACCGCAGUUUUGUUUUUUUAUAUCAUUAAAUUCAAUCAAAUAUGACUGUUGGACUUAAAACUUUUUUCUUUUAAAAAGUGAUAAUAUCACCAGUUUUGGUAUGCUAUUAUAUAUAUAAUUUUUAAUAAUGAAAAGAUACAAUUUUAAAAAUUAAUAAUAUUCAGUUUGUUAUGAAAAUAUACAAUUUUUAUAAUGAACAUACACAAUUUUUCAAACUAAUACAUUUCAGUUUUUCUUAUGAAACAACACAACCAAAGUAGUUAUUUUGAAAAGACACAAUUAUUUAGAUUUUUAGAAAAUACACAACUUUUCAACAUAAAUGAGUUUCAUAACCUUUGGAAUUAAUCAGGAUUGCUAUUAUUAGUAGAUAAAAUACUUGAUUUUAUCAUAUAUAUAUAUAUAUAUUAAUUAACUUUUAGAAAUCCGACAUUUAUAUUGUUUUUGUUACACUAUUUGGUGUAUACAAAAUAUGUUUUAUAGAAUUUAAAAUUUAUUUUUAUAUAUAAUUUUACGAAAUAUUAUCAAAAUAUAUUGAAAUAUUAAGAAAAAAUAGAAAUGAACUUCAUUGUGAAUAUAAAACAAAUAAUACAAUGUUUAAUGUUUGUACUUUAGUGUGUUUAUUAAUUAUUGAAUUUUUUACUGCAUAUUGUUAUAAAUAUAUAUAUUUUAAGAACAUUUGACAAGACUAAACACAUUAUUAUUUCAAGACUCUGAUCUUAUAACGUGUGUUACUAUUUUCAGAAUUUGAUGUUGAUGAGGAACUAGAAGCCAUGGGUAAGGAAAUGGUGGCAUAUUGUGGAGGACUACCAUUAGCCGUUAAAGUGCUGGGAGGCUUGUUAUCUAAUAAAACCAUGGUUGAAGAGUGGAAAAGAGUAGAUGACAAUAUUCAAAGUCAGAUAGUUCGCAUAGAUGACAAAAGUCAAGAUUCUGUUUACCGAGUAUUGUCUAUGAGCUAUGAAGAUUUGCCAACGCAGUUAAAGCAUUGUUUCCUCUACCUAGCUCAUUUUCCCGAAGAUGACAAGAUACAAGUGGAGAGAUUGUAUUAUUAUUGGGAAGCAGAAGGAAUAAUAACGUCAAGUGGCGAUGGAGAAACCACUAGGAAAAUUGGAGAAGACUACAUAGAGGAGCUAGUAAGGAGAAAUAUGGUUAUUGGAGUAAAAGAGGAAUUGAGUUGCAGAUGGGAGUAUUGUCAAAUGCAUGACAUGAUGAGAGAAGUAUGUUUAUAUAAAGCCAAAGAAGAGAACUUUCUUCAGUUUAUCAAAGUCCAUACUUCUUCCACCUCUAACAUCAAUGCUCAUACUCCUACCAGAUCUCGCAGACUCGUAGUACACGGUGGUGGUAGUGCACUUGAUAUGCUGUUAUGUAAAAGCAAUCAAAAAGCUAGAUCUGUUUUGGGUUUUGGACUCGACAGCAACUUGUGGAAGCAGUCAGGUCAAGGACUCAGAAAUUUACUUUUACUUAGGGUCUUAGAUUUAAGUUUAGAAGAUAAAAGCGACUCUAGAGGAGGGAGAAUACCAUCCAGCAUUGGAAAGCUCAUUCAUUUGAGAUAUUUGAGCUUAGACAUGGGUAGUGCAACUGAUGUACCUUCUUCUUUACGGAAUCUAAAGCUUCUAAUCUAUUUGAGUAUUUACUCCAAUGAAAGAGUUCAUCUGCCAAGUAUCUUUAAAGAGAUGGUAGAGUUGAGGUUCCUGGCGCUUCCCCCUCUUAUUGACGCUAAAACAAAGUUGGAAUUGGGUAAUCUUGUGAACCUGGAGUGCUUGACCGGCUUCCGAUCAGAAAACGGUAGCAUCACAGACUUCCUCCGAAUGAAAAAGCUCAGGAAUCUCGAGAUACAUCUCAAAGGCAGGUAUACUUCUGAAAUUCUAGCGUCAUCUCUCUGUGAAUUAAGAAACCUGGAGGUGCUUAGCUUGAUCGAUGAGUACCGAUCCGGUGGGGCUUAUGAUGUGGAUUUCGUUUGGAAUUUCAUUAAGCUAAGGCAUUUAGGGCUGAGCAUACAUGUGACAAGGCUUCCUGAUCACUCUCGAUUUCCUCCCCACCUUGCACACAUAUCUCUAUGUUUCUGUGAAUUGGAGGAGGAUCCACUGCAGAUUCUGGAAAAGUUGCUUCAUUUAAAGUCGGUUGUAUUACAAUACAGAUCUUUCGUGGGGAGGAAGAUGGUGUGUUCAAAAGGUGGAUUCCCUCAAUUAUGUAAGCUAGACAUAGUGUCCCUAUACGACUUGGAAGAGUGGGUAAUCGAAGAAGGGUCGAUGCCAUGUCUUCGUACCUUGGAAAUAUGGUAUUGUGAAAAGUUGAAGGAGCUACCGGAAGGGCUCAAGUAUAUCACUUCUUUAAAGGAACUGGAUAUCGCACAUAAGAACAAGGAGUGGAAGACGAAACUCGUACCAGGUGGGGAAAGUUACCACAAAGUCCAACACAUUCCUAGUGUUCAAUUACACUAUCAUAGCGACGACUCUGAUAUUGACGAAUAAGGAGAAUACAACCGUCUCAGGUAUAAUAUUCUUUUUGGUAUAAUGUCAAUAUUGUUCAUUUUGUUUGUUAUGUAUCCUCCUUGAAGUUUAGUGUGAAAGUCUAAACAGCUGUUAUUCGGUUUUCAGGUGAACCUACUCAGGAUCAGUACCCACCACUAUCGAUUGUGUGAUGUGAUAAUAAGUCGUUUUUGUUGUAUUGGUGUAUGAAGUUUACAUAUCUUGUUUGUGAUAUAUUCCGUUUAUCUGUUUGCAUGCUCAUUCACUGUAAUACUAAGUUUGAAAUACAUUAUUUGUAUGUUGAACCAUAUCUUCUUCGAUGUCUCCGUUGUGUGUGCUUCGUUGAUUUGUUUAGUCCGAACUGGAGAUAGAAUGGUGCUUUGAUAGUGUGAUCACUGAACAUCAUUCUUAACACGAUUUUAUCAUUUGGUUUAACGAAGGUCAAGAUAUUGAGGGAACCCUGAGUUUUCCAAAAAUUUUAAGUAACAAGAGAAACCGGUUAAUUCCAAUCCAGUUCUGUAAUUUGUCUGUCACUACCAAACCGGACCAUAUUGAUGGUUUAAAAACAAAGCUCGGUCUGGAUUAUAAUAUCAAAGAUUAAACAAAGAGUCCUUUCGAUCUCUGCAAAUUUGUUUUGACUCUGAAGAGGAGAAGAAGUGUACUUUCAAUCGCCAAGCGUAUGCAUAACUGGGUUAGAGCUUCCUCAUCCGAUUUCACCGGAACUCCUCCACAGCCCAGGAGGUAAAUUAAUUACUUCUUCUCCAUUCAAUUUUCGAUUUUAAUUUCAGCUGAUGUUUUUUAUUCUUCAUCAGUGGACAUACAGCUGUCAAUGUCGGAAAAUCCAUGGUCGUGGUGUUCGGCGGCCUCGUCGACAAGAAGUUCCUCAACGACAUCAUUGUUUAUGACAUUGGUAAUAUCAUACUUUAGCCUUAGGAUUAUUGUUUCCUUGCUUCAAGAAAGAUGCUUUCUUUCUCACGAGUUACGUUCUUGGCUUGCUCUGUUUGUAAUGACUAUUGUCUCUAGUAGUUUAUUUGAUAGAACGAUGCUUACAUCAAAGAUAGUUACUUUGCAACAAAAAAAAAAAACUAUAGAAAGCUGAAAACUUCAAGAUGAGAUUAUUCGAUUCGGUGUUGUUGAAGAGGAAUCAGAUGGAUACUCUCUUUUCUUAUUUUGCUAGUUUUUGUUUCUGAGCUUCUUUUGUCCCCUCCUUGGCCUUGUUUUAAGUAUCAUACUAGAUCUUGACCCGCACACCCGUGCGGAUGUAUUUAAAAAAAAAAAUAUGAUAUAUGAUGUUAUUUGCUUUUUAUGUCACUAUUUAGGGUUGGGCAAAAACUCAAAUUCGAAAAAUCAAACCGAUCCGAUCCCAAUCCAAAUAAGUAGUACUAAAUCCGAACCAGAAUUGAUUAAAUAUCCGAAUUAUUCAAAAUUUUGGUAUUUGAAGAAUUGAAACCUAAUCCGAUCUGAACCGAAUUAUUUUUAAUAUAUAUAAAAACGUCCAUAAUAUAUAUACAACUAAUUAAACGUAAAUAUCUUAAAUAAUUAAAAAAUACUCAAAUCUCCAAAAAUACUUAAAUAAUUAUUAAUUCUCUAUCCAAAUAUUUAAACCAAACCUAUUUAAAUUGGUUAUCCAAAUCAGAACCAAAUCCUCAAAGAUCUGAACUGAACACGAAAUCCCAAAAAGACCCGAAAACGAACCCGAACGCCCACCCAUAAUCACUAUUAUAUAUAUAUAUGUUAUCAUAGGUUACAAAAUAUGUGUUAUCAUAUAAUUAAUCGUAUUUUAUACGUACCAUCAAAUAAGUUUUCUUAUAAUUAAUAAUAUUUUAUACGUACAAUCAUAUAAAUAAUCACAUAUAUUAUAUUUUAAAAUUUAAUGUGAAAUAUAAAAACCAUAAUUUAAGUUGGUGUUUGAAAUUGGGCUUUGUAUUGUAUUAUUAUUAAAUAUAUUGAAAACAUUUUUAUAAUAGUUACUGGAAAAUAUGUUAGUAAAAAUCAAAUUUUGAAUAUAUGUAUAUUUUUGAAUGAAUUUUUGAUAUAAAUCAAUUUUAAGUUAUUACUUUGAUUUGAACAUAUAUAUCAAGUAACAUAUACCUAUUAGUUUUUAAUAUAAUGUAAUGGACUUUCAAUUUUUUUAAGUAGCAUAAGCCCAUUAUCUUUUUUUCUAACUUACUAUUAUCCAUGUUUUCAAUUUUAACUACUAUCCACAUUACCAAACAAUCCCAUUUUGUACUUGAGUUUUAAUAAGAUAGAUGUUCAGCUUUUUUAAUCAUGUGAUAAUUGGUGGUCUUAUGAUUUGCUUCUUCUUUAAUCCUGUCGACUAGAAAACAAACUCUGGUUUGAGCCAGAAUGUACUGGCAGCGUAUCUGAAGGAAAAGUUGGUCCUACACCUCGCGCCUUUCAUUUUGCCAUCACUAUUGAUUGUCAUAUGUUCAUCUUUGGUGGACGUUCUGGUGGCAAGAGGUACGCACUACUAUUUAUUUGCUAGCUGUAAGCGUUUUUACAUUCUAAAUAGCUUAUUUCUAUAAAUCAAUUUCAGGUUGGGUGACUUCUGGGUUCUAGAUACUGGUAAGUGUGCUUCGGAGUUUUUAUUUCUCUGCUUUGGCACUUCUAUGAGACACCUAUUAAUGACAUUUUCUGCAGAUAUAUGGCAGUGGUCUGAGCUAACCAGCUUUGGCGACUUACCUACGCCUCGUGAUUUUUCUGCUGCCGCUGCUAUUGGCAACCAGAAAAUUGUGUUGUGAGUAUCAUAAAUUUUAGACGUUCCAUCAGCUUGUUGCCUGCAUUGGCUUAACCUAUGACCAUUGGCAGGUGUGGCGGCUGGGAUGGUAAAAAAUGGCUGUCAGAUGUGUAUGUUAUGGACACAAGUAAAACACUUUAUACCUCUCGUCUACUUCAGUUUUGUGAUAAAACUUGUUUUAAGUUUAUGAUAAUGUCAGCUUUUCUUGGUAUUUGCUAGUGUCUCUUGAAUGGAUGGAGCUGUCAGUUUCGGGGUCGUUGCCGCCUCCUAGAUGUGGUCAUACAGCCACCAUGGUUGAGAAGCGUUUACUUGUUUUUGGUGGCCGAGGUAAUACCAAAAUUAAAAAAAAACUGUAGAUUCUUGAUGUUGACUUAUCGCCAUUCCUUUAAUAAGUUAAGGUGUUUGCAUACUAAACCAAUCACCACAACUGAGGAGUGUUCUUGGCGGACUCGCAUUAUGGAUAAAAUUCAAAACUGAAUGAUUUAUUUGCUAUUUUACUUUUUUCAUUCAUCAAACAUGUUAAGGAUGCUGAUGUGUUUGGUUUACCCGUUGCUGUUAAUUAAUAACUUUCAUUUAUUAACGAAGUUUCCUGACCGGGUGUACUGAUGGUAUAUGUUCACAAGAAGUUUUGCUUGAGCUGAUAACAAGUAAACUGAGACUAUGGUGUGUGAUAUGGUUAUCUUUGACAGGAGGUGGUGGCCCUAUCAUGGGUGAUCUGUGGGCUUUGAAGGGUCUAAUAGAUGAAGGUGCAUCCUUGAUUAAAUUACUUCAAAACUGCAUUGGAUCUUAUUCUGGGUUUACCUUUGUUGUGCAAGAAAGAGCGUGAAACACCUGGAUGGACACAACUCAAGCUUCCUGGCCAAGCACCAUCGUCUCGAUGUGGUCAUACGGUUACAUCCGGAGGACAUUACGUAAGUCUUUUCCAGCUCAUGUUUGCUCUUUUGUAUAUGAAUGGCUUCGCGGGACAUACAUCACUCACAUCAUUAAUUUCCAUGUAUGAAGCUUCUGUUAUUUGGGGGACAUGGAACUGGUGGAUGGCUGAGUCGAUAUGAUGUCUAUUAUAAUGACACUAUAAUUUUAGAUAGAGGUACAUUCUUGCUCACUCGUCUCAUUAGCUUCGUCUCCUCUGCUAAAGGAUCACUGGAAAUCUAAAAUCCACCUAAUCGAAGUAUAAUCUAGUGAGAUGAGAAAAUUGUGAUGUAAUUCAUCAGUUUUAUUGCUGUGCAUUGUCUUGUACGCGCUGUUGCUAAAUUUAUGCGUUGUUGCUAGUAACUGCACAGUGGAAGCGCUUACCAGUAAGCAAUGAUGAGCCUCCUCCUCGGUGUGAAGUUUCAGUUCUACGAAGGCUCUGGUCUUGGUGGUGUUGUCAGGCUGCGGUGGAGGGCUUAGCGUUUCUCUUCGGUGUCGAGGAGGUCUCUCUCCCUCUCUCUUCUGUCGUGUGAGCUCUGGAGGUUUCCGCUUCCUCGGAGAUGAGUCGUGGGUUGAGGUAUGCAGUAGGAGAUGGUGCCUCAGUCUAGUUCCGAUUUCCAAGGGUUCUGUGGGUUGCUUGGAAGGAGUCUUCUAUGGUUUUAUUCACGGCAUCUCAACGUCUCUCAUCACUGGAGAUCUUCCCUGCUUGGUUCUCGUUCUGAUUCUUCUGGUGAAUGGCGACGGUCCUCUUCAUCAAAUGCUUGUCCUUGUUCUUCAUGUUUCUUGCUUUCUGUUUGACACCGGAAUGUGACACAGGGAGUCACAGGAAAUUGCUCUCGGUUCUCGAUAGCAGCAAGCGUCGAUUUGUUUUGAGCGUGUGCUCUUUGCCUAUUGGUGUCAAUGCUUGGCCAAUUAGCAAGCGUCGAUUUGGUUUGUUCUUCUGUGGCAGUGUGAGCUGGCUAUAUUUCUGUGCAGGUUCGGAUACUGUAUCAGACGAAAUGUGGUGGCGUUUGCAAGCCCGCCUUUUGGAUCCUAAUUGGUGAUGGAGGGGAGUGUACAGUCCGAGUUCUUGGCGUCGUCACUCAGGUGAAAUGUCCGAAACUCCCUCUGUUUCCAUCGUCAAACGCUUCAUAGACAGUGACAGUUAUAAGCUGGAGUUCAUCGGGAACCAGCUACUCCGUGGACAAAAUGGAAAGUCCCAGCGCAUCCGAAGCAAUAAGGACCGAGACAAUAAGGAAAACCUCACCUUCUCGUGAUCUUCGUCGAUGGUUGAUGUUUGAGAAUGGUAACCAUUCCAAAGAAUUCCAAAAAACGAAUCAACGGAAUGUAUCAUGUUUAGUGGACGGAAAAAGCUAAUUUUGUAAUAGUUUGAGUUUGAAAAUUUUGUACAAAACAGACUUGUAACCAGAUCUGAAUUUCCGAUCCUCAGGUCAAAUUAAUAUAUAUUUUAAAAAAGUCUUUAGUAUUGCAAGACGAAGUAUUCAAGGUGUAUAGGUCAUAGAUUGUAGACGAAAUAUUUAUUUAAAUUUUUUAUAUAUCUUACUUAUGGAGGAAACAUCUUAGUUUGGUAGAAUUUUUCCAUUUUAUUGGAGUCAAGCGGAAAACUUGAUCCAAAGACCAUAAAUCGUUUAAGCAGGAAAAGAAGGAUCUACCUCCUAAGCAAGUUGCAGAUCUGUUACGUGAAAGGUAAAUCACGUUCUUAUAUCAUUAUUUUUCUGUUUAACUUGCUUUGAUCUGUCUUUUAGGCUCUGUUGUGGUUGAAUCUGAUUUACAAACAAAAAUUCGUUGGAUUAUUACAAAUCUUGUUUUACGAAUUAAAAGCAUUUACUCUAAUCUUGUUAUAAAGUGUCUGAAUAAUAAGCUAAGUAAAGUUCCUCUGACAGGUAUCAUGUUUUAUUAUAGAUCAACCAAGGAUUAUCAAAAACGGUUUUAAAUCUUACUACAAGUUUGUACUUAUGUGUUGUGUUGAUGGUGGAACAGGAGAAUAGUGAUGGCUGAGGGAGUUGUGUCGUUUGGAGUGGAGAAACUCUGGGAUCUCCUGAGUCGAGAAUCUGAGCGAUUGCAGGGAGUUCAAGUGCAAGUUGAUGAUCUAAAAUGUCAGAUGAGUACGUUACAGUCGUUGUUGGAAGAUGCAGAUGGUAAGAGAUAUGAGAGUAAAGUAGUGAGAAGCUUCUUGGAAGAUGUCAAAGACAUUGUAUUUGAUGCUGAAGAUAUAAUCGAAUCCUUUCUUUUGAAAGAACUCAGUGGAAACCAAAAAGGGAUCAUGAGGCGUGUGAAAAGACUUUCUUGUUUCUUAGUGGAUCGCCGAGGUCUUUCUAUGGACAUUGAAGGCAUAACUAAGAGAAUGGCCAAGGUUGUUGCGCAAAUGCAUAGCUUUGGAAUACAACAGAUCAUCUACAGAUCACCGUCUCUACAAGAGAGACAAAGGGAGAUCCGACAAACAUAUCCAAAGAGAUCUCAAAAGGAUCUUGUGGGGGUGGAACAGAGUGUUAAGGAACUGGUUGGUCAGUUGGUGGAGAAUGAUAACAUCCAAGUAGUUUCCAUUUCUGGGAUGGGUGGUAUUGGAAAAACCACUCUUGCGAGACAAGUCUUUCAUCAUGACAUUGUUCGAAGUCAUUUUGAUGGAUUCGCAUGGAUCUGCGUUUCGCAAGAUUUUAAGCAGAAGGAUAUUUGGCAAAAGUUAUUGCAAGACCUUAGACCACAUGAUAAGGGCAUCGAACAUAUGAAUGAGAAUACACUCCAGGCUGAGCUCUUUCUCUUGUUGGAAACAUCUAGAUAUUUAAUUGUCAUGGAUGAUGUAUGGAAAAACGAAGACUGGGAUAUAAUAAAACACGUUUUCCCCCAAGAAAGAAGAGGUGAGCUCUCUAAUUGUACAUACAUUACUUAAGUUCUCCCCAUAGCCAUUUCUUAAAUGCCUUUGAGUCUCUGAUAUGAAACUAAAUACAAUUGCAGCUUGGAAGAUGAUUCUUACUUCACGCAAUGAAGGUGUUGGUUUGCAUGCAGACCCAACAUGUUUUCCCUUUAGACCAAAAAUCUUUACUCCUGAAGAAAGCUGGAAGCUAUGUGAGAGCAUAGCAUUCCCUAGAAGAGAGAUAACAGGUACGUUUUUAUAUAAGAAUCACAUGAAUCCUUAAGGCCAGAAAGCAUGAUAUCUCUUACUGGUUUUCUUUAUAAAAAAUGGUGUAGUAAUUCCUAAAUAUCCUCUGAGAUGGCAUAUAUUGUUGUAUAUGUAUUUUUUUUUUUUUGAACAUUUGAAAAGACUAGACACCAUAGGGGUGGGAAAAAGCUGACCCAUCCGUACCCAAGCCAAACCAAAAUCUAUGUUUAAAAAAAAGGUGUUUUUAAUUAGAUUAAUUAAAUAUACUAGUAAUAUUAAAAUCUAAUAUAUUUAUCCAUUUAACCUAAACAACUAAAUAUAAUUUAUACAUUUUACUUCUAAAUGAAUAGAAUAAACAUAACUAAAAAUAAAAUAAAAGAAUUUUAUUUUCAUACAUUAACAUUAAAACCGAAAAAUUACCUAUAUUACUUAUAGUAGGUUUAAAGAUAAUAACAUAAAAUUAUUUGGAAACAGAAUAUGAUGUUGAUGAAGAACUAGAAGCCAUGGGUAAGAAAAUGGUCAUGUAUUGUGGAGGACUACCAUUAGCCGUUAAAGUGCUAGGAGGCUUGUUAGCUAAUAAAUAUAUGGUUGAAGAUUGGAAAAGAAUAAAUGAGAAUAUUCAAACUCAGAUAGUUCGCUUAGAUGACAACAAUCAAGAUUCGGUUUACCGAGUAUUGUCUAUGAGCUAUGAAGAUUUGCCAAUGCAGUUAAAGCAUUGCUUCCUCUACCUAGCGCAUUUUCCCGAAGAUUACAAGAUACAAGUUGGGAAAUUGUGUAAUCUCUGGGAAGCAGAAGGAACAAUAACAUCAAGUUGCGAUGGAGCAACCACUAGGAAAAUUGGAGAAGAAUAUAUAGACGAGCUAGUAAGGAGAAAUAUGGUUAUGGCAGUAAAACAGGAUUUGAGUUGCACUUGGGAGUAUUGUCAAAUGCAUGACAUGAUGAGAGAAGUUUGCUUAUAUAAAGCUAAAGAAGAGAACUUUCUUAAGUUUAUCAAAGUCCCUAAUUCUUCCACCUCCACCAUCAAUGCUCAUACUCCUACUAGAUUUCGCAGACUCGUAGUACAUGGUGGUAAUGCCCUUGAUCUGCUGGGACGUAAAAGCAAUCAAAAAGCUAGAUCUGUUUUGGGGUUUGGACUCGACAGCAACUUGUGGAAGCAGUCAGCUCAAGGACUCCGAAAUUUACAAUUACUUAGGGUCCUAGAUCUGACUCUGAGUUUAAAACUACAUGGUAGAAGCAACUCUAGAGGAGGGAGAAUACCUUCCAGCAUAGGAAAGCUCAUUCAUUUGAGAUAUUUGAGCUUAUACAUGGGUUGUGCAACUCAUGUACCUUCUUCUUUUAGGAAUCUAAAGCUUCUAAUCUAUUUGAAAAUUUGCUCUGGGGCAACAGUUUAUCUGCCAAGUAUCUUUAAAGAGAUGGUAGAGUUGAGGUUCCUAUUUCUCCCCUCUUCUUUUGAGGCUAAAACAAAGUUGGAAUUGGGUAAUCUUGUGAACCUGGAGUACCUGACCUGCUUCCGAGCAGAAUACGGUAGCAUCACAGACUUCCUCCGAAUGACUAGGCUCAGGACUCUCUAUGUAUUUCUCAAAGGCAGGUAUACUUCUGAAAUUCUAGUGUCAUCUCUAUGUGAAUUAAGAAACCUGGAGACGCUUAUAUUGAUCGAUGUGAACGAACCCGAUGAGGCUUAUUAUGAUGUGGAUUUCGUUUGGAAUUUCAUUCAUCUAAGGCAUUUAGAGCUGGCCAUACAUAUGCCAAGGCUUCCCAAUCACUCUCGAUUUCCUCCCCACCUUGCACACAUAUCUUUACGUUACUGUAACAUGGAGGAUGAUCCACUGCAGAUUCUGGAAAAAUUGCUUCAUUUAAAGUCGGUUAAGUUAACAGAUUUUUCUUUCGUGGGGAGGAAGAUGGUGUGUUCAAAAGGUGGAUUCCCUCAAUUAUGUAAGCUAGAAAUAUGGGACCUAAACGAAUUGGAAGAGUGGAUAGUCGAAGAAGGGUCGAUGCCAUGUCUUCGUACCUUGUCUAUUCGGUAUUGUAAAAAGUUGAAGGAGCUACCGGAAGGGCUCAAGCAUAUAACUUCUUUAAAGGAACUGUAUAUCAGACAUAAGAACAAGGAGUGGAAGACAAAACUCGUACCAGGUGGGGAAAGUUACCACAAAGUCCAACACAUUCCUAGUGUUCAAUUACACUAUGAUAGCGACGAAUAAGGAGAAUAAAACGGUCUCAGGUAUGUCUUUUUGGUAUAAUGUCAAUAUUGUUCUUCUUGAAGUUUUGUGUGUAAGUCUCAACUAUCUAACCUUUUUAUUAUUCGGUUUUCAGGUGAACCUACUCAGGAUCAGUACCCACCACUACCGAUUGUGUGAUAUGAUAAUAAGUCGUUUUUGUUGUAUGAAGUUUACAUAUCUUGUUUGUGAUAUAUUCCGUAUAUCUAUUUGCAUGCUCAUUCACUGUAAUGCUAAGUUUGAAAUACAUUAUUUGUAUGUUGAACCAUAUCUUAUUCGAUGUUCUCCGUUGUGUGUGCUUAGUUGACUUGUAUAGUUACCGAACCGAACCUGAGUUUUCCAAAUUUGUCUUUUACUACUAAACCGGACAAAUUGAUGGUUUAAAAACAAAACUCGGUCUGGAUUAUAAUAAAAUCAGAUGAUGAGACUCUACCAAACAAGAGAGUCCUUUCGAUCUCUGCAAAUUUGUUUUUGACUCCAAUUAAGAGGAGGAGAAGUCUAUUAGUUGAAGCGAAUACAAAACGCGGUGAUCCGUGCGUUUCAGACAUCAAUCGCCAAACGUAUGCAUAACUGGGUUAGAGCUUCCUCUUCCGAUUUCACGGGAACUCCUCCACAGCCUAGGAGGUAAAUUAAUUACUUCUUCUCCAUUCAAUUUUCGAUUUUAAUUUUAGCUGAUGAUUUUUUUAUUGUUCAUCAGUGGACAUACAGCUGUCAAUGUCGGAAAAUCCAUGGUCGUUGUGUUCGGCGGUCUCGUCGACAAGAAGUUCCUCAACGACAUCAUUGUCUAUGACAUUGGUAAUAAUCAUCAAUUAUAUUCAGCCUAGGAUUAUUGAUUCCUUGAUCCAAAGAAGAUGCUUUUUUUUUUAUUAGUUACUACUGUCUUGGCUUGUUCUUCUUGUAAUGACUAGUGUUUGCUUCUUCUUUAAUUCUGUGGACUAGAGAACAAACUCUGGUUUGAGCCAGAAUGUACUGGCAGCGUGUCUGAAGGAAAAGUUGGUCCUACACCUCGCGCCUUUCAUGUUGCCAUCACUAUUGAUUGCCAUAUGUUCAUCUUUGGUGGACGUUCUGGUGGCAAGAGGUACGCACUUCUAUAUAUUUUCUAGUUAUAAGCGUUUUUACAUUCUAAAUAGCUCAUUUCUGUAAAUCAAUUUCAGGUUGGGUGACUUCUGGGUUCUAGAUACUGGUAAGUGUUCAAGUUAUAACAAUGUCAUUGAGACCUGCAUAGGGAACUUUUUAAUACUCUGCUGCCAACGUUUUCUGCAGAUAUAUGGCAGUGGUCUGAGCUAACCAGCUUUGGCGACUUACCUACGCCUCGUGAUUUUUCUGCCGCCGCUGCUAUUGGGAACCAGAAAAUUGUGUUGUGAGUAUUCAGAAAUUUUAGACGUUCAUCAGCUUGUUGCCUGCAUUGGCGUAACCUAUGAUCAUUGGCAGGUGUGGCGGCUGGGAUGGUAAAAAAUGGCUGUCAGAUGUGUAUGUUAUGGACACAAGUAAGUUUCUGAUAAUGUCAGCUUUCUUGGUGUCUGUUAGUGUCUCUUGAAUGGAUGGAGCUGUCGGUUUCGGGGUCGUUGCCGCCUCCUAGAUGUGGCCAUACAGCCACCAUGGUUGAGAAACGUUUACUUGUUUUUGGUGGCCGAGGUAUAUAACACCAGAACCAGAAUCUUUGUUCUGCUUGAGCUGAUGACAACUAAACUGAGACUAUGGUUAUCUUUGACAGGAGGUGGUGGCCCUAUCAUGGGUGAUCUGUGGGCUUUGAAGGGUCUAAUAGAUGAAGGUUCAUCCUUACUUACAUUUCUUGAAAAUUGCAUUGAAUUAUGUAGAGGAGUAUUCUCUUGAGUUGUCUUUCUUUCUUUUGUUCUGUUUGCUGAUCUUAUUGUGGUUUACCUUUGUUGUGGAAGAAAGAGCGUGAAACACCUGGAUGGACCCAACUAAAACUUCCUGGCCAAGCACCAUCAGCUCGAUGUGGUCACACUGUCACAUCCGGAGGACAUUAUGUAUGUCUAUUUCAGCUUCCGUUUGCUCUUUUGUAUAAAUAGGUUCGCAUGACAUACAUCACUCACAUCAUUAAUUUUCAUGUAUGAAGCUUCUGUUAUUUGGGGGACAUGGAACUGGUGGAUGGCUGAGUCGUUAUGAUGUCUAUUAUAAUGACACUAUAAUUUUAGACAGAGGUAAAUUCUUGCUUAUGAGAUUCGUCACUCUAAAUCCAAAAAUCCACCUCAGUAAUUUACAAUCUAGUGAGAUGAUAAAAUUGUGAUGUGCUUUAUCAUUUUUCUUGCUGAGCAUUGUUUUCUACGCGUUGUUGCUAAAUUUAUAUUUUCACAUACUAGUAACUGCGCAGUGGAAGCGCUUACCGAUAAGCAAUGAUGAGCCUCCUCCUCCUCGAGCUUACCAUACAAUGACUAGUAUUGUUGCUCGUCAUCUUUUAAUUGGUGGUUUUGAUGGAAAAUCAACCUUCGGUGAUCUUUGGUGGUUGGUUCCUGAAGGUAUCUUUCUCUUAUUUAUACUGAUGUUUUAGUCCAACUUAGCUAUCAUUCUGUGUACACGCAUCAUCAGUUACUUAUAGUUGGAAACUCUUUAGACGAACUAAUCUUGGUGUUGGUCGCAGAUUGUAGGCAAUUUUAGAGACACUUAAUUUCUAGCAUAAUCUUUUUUUUCUUCUUUAUCAAGUUUGUAUUGAAAGUUUUGAAGUUUUACUGAACUGUUUAGCCUUCUGAAAAUGUUGUUAUUCGUUUUUUUCUUUUUCUCUUUUCUCAGAUGAUCCGAUAGCCAAGAGGUCUUCUGUACCUCAACUUAGAAACCCUCCUGAGACUAAAGAGUCAGAGAGAGAUUUGGAUACGGUAACUGUGGUUACUGCUCAUCAUCUUAUGUGUUUCUCGCCAAUGCAGUUAAAUUAGCUUUUCAACGUGUUUUAACACCAAGAGUUUGGUCACAGCAGGAAAGAGGACAAGAGGGAUUCACUAUCGUCGACUUGCAAAAGAAAAUGGGAAUCUCUGUUUCUUCAGGGUUACGCCUUCAAAUACCCGAGGAGUUAGAAGAUCAAGAGUUCGUUGAGUUAGGAACCAGAUUGAUUGAGGGAGAUGCAGUUGAUAAUGGAGCCUCCAUGAUUCAGGUGAGUUUUUCCUCUUGUCUAUUUUAGAAUGUGUGAUUGUGUUAUUCUUGUACUGAAAAUGCUUCUCAAUGAAAAGAUGGCAGCUGAAGCACUUCGUCAACAUUGGAAAGAGUCCACUCCAGAGACUUUGCAAUUAAAGGAGCUUGGUUCCUUGCUUCGAGAUUAUCAGCGACUGGUUACCCGAAAAUACACGUGAGUUCUUAUCCAUGCCUAACUAUUUCAGACUCAGUUCUUGUUUAUGUAGAUUAUCUUUUGUUUCACUAAAAAUGGUUGUUCUUUGAUUGCGCUUGGAAUCACCACAUGGCAUUAGAAUAACUUAGAUAAAUCUCCUGAGAGUUUAGGAGUCAUAUAGAGUUAAUAUGAAUAUAUCAUUUUUGUGUCUUGAAUAGCCCUCGAGACUUUUUAAUCCGAGCAUAUUGUCAAAACUGAUAAUGUUGUGAAUGCAUUGUUUUGUGCCCCUACUAUUACAUGUUAUGAAAUCUCACAUCUGCUUCUUCCUUUCCUUGACACAUGUUUCUUUUCAUUUGUUGUGGCGGGUUUCUAUCAGAUCACAGAGCAGCUUAACAUCUGCUGAUUUUGGAAAGAAGACGUUUACGUUUUAUCAUAUCAAAAAUUCUUCCGAGGUAUUACUCUGCAUACUUUCCUCCCUCGCCUGAAUAUUUGACACCAAUCAAUCAAAACAUCAGGCUUUCCUCCUGACAUGUCAAGUUUACAUUUUGCUAUUCUCAGUUGCGGAUGGAUGACAUUGCGGAGUUGCUGGAAGAAUACAAAACCCUUGUAAUCUGAUUGAGGAGCUCUGCCAUGAAACUCACAAGGAGAAUACAAAACUCAUCAAGUAGCUGCCAAGAAGAUCACCAAGAUUGCUAUCAGCAUUACCAUUGCAAACCACAAAGCUAAAAAGUCUCAAGAGAAUCACAUCUCUGAUAGACAACUAUGUGCAACUUCUUUUUAGCAAGAACAAAAAGAUACAACGUAUAUGUAAGACUUCCAUUAUCUCAACUUAAAUCCAUAUCUAAGCCUCUGCUCUUUUAUUUCUUGUUUGGGCUUUGAAAAUAGAUUGCUUUGCCUUGAAGCCAAUGCGAAAGUAAGGAAAAAAGUAGGCAAACUUCAUCUAUUAGACUUUGAAAUGGAUUACAACAACAACGGUACUCUUGAUAACUUAAACCACAGAGUUUCUGUCUGCAUAGACCCGUAUUGUCUUUUCUCUAUCCCCUAAAACAACUCGAACUCAAGAUGAUCUCCCAUGGCUUUACAUUCAAGAUAUCCAUUACCAUUUCCUUUAGGAGAAGUUGCUUCCGUUGCACCAUUCUCAUAUACAUCCGGCAGCUCAGGCGGAAUGGCGCAGCGGAUGAGAGCCCAGUUCAAUCCUUCAAAGAAUGGAUGCCUCUUGAUCUCUGCAGCUCCUUUCUCCCACCCGAGACGGCUCCCCGGAUCCUUCAUCACCAACCUUCUGAUCAAAUCCUUUGCCUGGAAGCUCACAAGAGGGCUAUCAGGAAACUUGAGGUUCUGAAACACAAACGUCUCCUCAUUGUCAUAACCUUUGAACGGUGUCUUCCCGUAUAAAAGCUCAUAGAGAAGAACCCCAAACGUCCACCAGUCUACUGCAGCACCGUGCCCUUCUCCUUUAAUGAUCUCCGGCGCCAAGUACUCGUGCGUUCCUACAAAAGAGUUUGAUCUUGCUUCAGUUGGUUCAGCCACAAGCUGAGGCAAUGAUCUGAACUGUUGGGUCAGAAGAUCAGGCCUUCUCUGUUUUCUUGGUUUUGAGUUUCUAGCUUGCGUUGACAAGAGCCUAGGGCUGAAACAUGGGACACAGCACGAUGGACUCUAUCUAAAUCACAGGUUCUUCAUCUUCUUUGGAAGCUGAGGAGCUUGAUACAAUAAGUGAAGACGAAGACAAACAGCAGUAUCCAGGCGAUGUGCACUGCAGCUACAGCUGGUAAGAAGUCAUGUUCGAACCCGGAUCCAUCUUUGAGCAACUGUUUUAGUUCCGUGUCUAGGAGACCAGUGUUCUGUACUAUCGAAUCUUGGUCUCCUACUUGAGAUGUGAUGCUUCCAUACAAUGUCCAGCCACUGGCGUUGCCUAGUAAUUAAUAUCAUCUCCACCAUAUCAAUAUUUGCUGCAUCCCCUCCUCCAUAAGAAACAUAAAACAUAAAAGUUAGGUAGCUCUAAAACACUUCUGAUCAUAACAAAAAGUAAGAUCUAUAACACACUUGAUGAUUACGUAACUUGGUUCGUAAUUUUUACCAAUCUUUGGGAUGAGGAACUGGAGAAAAGAUUCCAAAUAGACCGAGGAAGAAAGACAUGCAGAUUCCGGAGAUUUGAUAGUUUGGUGUCAAGGCCACAAAGCAUCAAGCUUGGUAACAUGUCGUAGUAGUAGAAGUAGAACCAGAAGAACUUGACCACAGUACGGUCGUAUCCUAUCAUUGAGUAAAGGAUUAUAGUAUGUAAACUCUAGUUUGUAUGGUGUCAUACUACAUGAUCUAACAACUUUGUCUAUAUUACCAACUAGUGGUAUGCCCGCGCUACGCGCGGGGCGGUUGUCUUGUGUUGUAAUAUUUAUUUUAAAUGUAUUGUCAUCUUUUGUUUGAUUAUAGGUAAAUGAAAAAUUAAUGUAAUAAAAAUUGGUUUGAUUAUAUUAUCAUUAACUCAAAAAAUAAAAAUUAAUUUUUAGUUAUACUUGAGAUCAUGAAGCAUUAUUUUGAUCAACUGAUGAUAAUAGAUAUAAGUUUUAACUGUCAAAGAUAAAUUGUAGAGUACAAUGUGCAUAGUAUAAUAUAGGCUUGACAUUUUAUGUAUAAAUUUAGAUAUCUAUUAGUUUUUUUGUUUGAAAUAAGUAUUUUUUUAAAAUUGUUCUUAUUUGAUUAUAUUUGGGAAAGAAAUGCUGAGAAAGAAAAUUAUUUUGUAAAGAGGGAAUUUUUUUUGUUGUUGAAAUUAAUACAAAGGAGAAAACAGUACAGAAAUGAAACUGGAAAUUAGAAUAUAAUAAACCCCCUUAUUAGUAGUAAUUAAGCUGAAAUCAUAGAUUACUUUCCCUACGUAUGGGACAUUUUUUGUUCGUGCGAAGCCAUCGAUAAAUGUAAGGAAAAUAGAAAUUAUGGUUGCAAGUAAGAGAGUAAAUAUUGUUUUCAUAGUUGAAAUUCCUAAAGCACAUAGUGCAUUCUUCAAUAGUUGGAAGCCUAUUAAUUUCCUCUAAAUCGACGUUAAGUUUUGCAUCGCGUUUUGGUUGUAGCCCUUGAUAGUAAGAGUAAAUUGAAGAUCAUCAGUCAUGGUAUGUUAACAUGAAUUCUAUGCUUUCGGUUGUUGAAUCAUUAAAAUUAAAUUGAUUGUCAAUGAUAGAUGGUAGCUGAAAAUUAAUAAUGGAUUGUUGUGUGUUAGAUCUGGGGAUGUAGACUUGGAGUAUUUGUUGCGGACUUUCUCCUGAAGAUCUUGUUCGGAGUGAUAGCUGAUAAGAGAGAAGUGGUUUGUUAUUUACUUUUGAGUUCUUUGUAAGAGUUUUAUGGUGAAAGUAUGAAAAUGUUUUAUAAAUAUGUCUUAUAGAGUGUGAAUUAAGUUUUUGAUUUAUUUUGACUUCUUCUUACGUUUGGUAUUAAGAACUAUUUAUUUUGGAGGUUUAAUUUUUUGAGUUGAUGGUUUUUGAAGACUUGACUGUUCUGUUUAGGUUGAUUUGUUACUUCUUAUCGAGAUUUUUAUAAUAUACAUAUAGAGUUUAUUUGUAAGAGAAAAUGAUAAUAGGGUAAUUUUCCUAAAUACACAUUUUUAUGUUUUUGUCACAAAAUAGCUUCAAAUGAGUAAAAUGACUAAAAUGUCUCAUUUAAGAGAAAAAGAUAUUUAUACCCUAGAUAUAUAAAUACAAAUAAAAUAUAAUUUAUAGUUUCCAAUUAUAUGUUUUCAAAUUUGAACUUUCUUAUAAAAAUAUAUUUUGUAAAAGUCCAUUCUUUAACUCGAAACCCUAAAGUUUAGAUUAGUUAACCUCAAUUUUAUAAAAAAAUUGAAACCUCUAUCCUAAAACUUUAUCCUUUAACUCGAAACCCUAAAGUUCAGAUUAGUUAACCUCAAGGAUAUAAGUGUAUAUUUAUCUUUUAUUUUGGUUAUUUUUAUUCUAAAAGACUAUAUUUGUGACAAAAAAAAUUUAGGACUGUAAUAGGAAUUUCUCAUGAUAAUAUAUGCUUUUUAUAUUUCGAUGAAUCUUAUUAAUAAUAUAAUUUUAGUUUGGUUAAUUAUUAUUAUGGUUUAACAUUUCAACGAUAGUUUUACUCUUAAUUUUGAUGUUUCUAUAAUGUGCGUUGUUCUAAACUGAAAUUAAUUCGUAUUAGUUAUUUGUAGUUAUGUUAAUAUAUAUUUUUAUUAGUUUUAGUAUAGUUUUAAUGUCCUUGGCUAAAAGCAUUCUACAAAACUAUAGUAUAGUAUAGUUUUAAUUUGGGUUUCCAUAUUUAAUGGAAACGUAGUGGGUCUAGGAGAUUAAUGGUGUUCUUUUGUUGCUGUUGGAAUACGUUAUUGUUUUCAAAGUUUUGAUUUGAGUUAUUAAAUUUAUCAUUUAUAAUUUGAGAUUUUAUAUCAUGAAACUUUAAAACACGAUUGUUUUGUGACUUGUUUGAAAUAAUUAGUAUAUUAUACUUUAAAUUUUAUAUUAAUUUAUUUUAUCGUUAGUAAUUAACAAAGUUCAAGUUAUUCUCCCAAUAAUUGGUUCCAAAAAAAUAAUUGUGCUUUUUCAGUAAUUUACUGUUAAGAAAAUAAAGUUGUAAAUGUUAUGUGAUAUAAUUUUAAGUUAUAUUACACUGUUAUUUUAUAUUUUCUACAAAACAAUUUAUGGACAUUGUUAUUUUUGGCUCAUUUGAAUACACGAAAAAAAAUCUAUUGAUGGACUACACCUACGUUUGGGGAUUAGCAUACAUCUUUUCAUAUGUUUCCUAGGUUAAUAAAAUAAUAUUUCUAUUUUAUCUUCUAUUUAAAUUUAAAAUUUCUAAAUAUCCAUUUUGAUUAUAUAUUUUAUAUAUUUUGAGUAUCGUUGGCUGAAUUUCCUCUCAAAUCCUAGUUACCAAUAUGCCUUAAUUGUUUAAAAGUAGUAGAAAAGCCCAAUAAAAAUCUCUAAACCGAAGACGUUAUAGAGAUGAAGUCUCAGAUUCCGGAAGAGGAAGAGGAUGGAGCAGGAGAGACCCCGAUGGCGAAACAUAGAAACCCUAAAAGAACAAAUUAAGUUUUCUAGAUGAAGAGAAGAGCCCAGAGCCCAGGAACACAUUAAACUAUUCAGAGAGAAAGAGAAUGGCCCACGAAACAAAAACAAACGGACAAAACAAAAUAAACCCACGAAACAACACAAUUUAAGAAACGUAAAUGAAAUCAAACGAACAAAAGCUUUGUAAAAUAGAGACACGUGGCGAAAUUUAGAUAUAUGAGUGCUGAGGUGGAGGCCUGAGGAGCCUUUCCAAGCUACUUUAUUAAUAUAGAUUUUCCCAAUUAAUUAUUUCUAACGAAAAUAUAAUGUAUAAAUAUCAAUGAAUAUAUUUUGAAAGUUGAAAAUGAGGAAGAAAUUUUUUUUUUUACCAAAAAGAAUAAUAAGGGAGAACUAUAGUGAAUGCUUCGAGUGGGCUUAAGCAAACGCAUUAUUGCCUGCGAAAAGUCAUUAUCGCUACAGACUAGAAAACUCACAUAUUUUCUUUUUAUUCAAAAUUAGAACCACAGAUGGCAGCCAAUAUAGACUGUUGAUAAGAUUGACUUGGAGUCUACUCUUUCAUUGCCACUCAUAUCUCUUCUUCCAAAGAACCUCUCUAAGCAAGUUGAAGAGCUGUUACAUGAAAGGUAAAUCAUGUUCUUGUAUCAUUAUUUGUCUGUUUAACUUGCUUUGAUCUGUCUUUUGGACUCUGUUGUGGUUGAAUCUGAAUUUAAAAACGAAAAUUCGUUAGAUUAUUACAAAUCUUGUUUUACGAAUUUAAAGCAUUUAAUCAUCAAAUCUUGUUAUAAAUUGUUUGAAUAAAAGUAAGUUAAGUAAAGUUCCUCUGACAUGUAUCAUAUUUUAUUAGAUAAACCAAGGAUUAUCACAGCGGUUUUAAAUCUUACUACAAGUUUGUACUUAUGUAUUGAUGGUGGAACAGGAGAAUAGUGAUGGCUGAGGGAGUUGUGUCGUUUGGAGUGGAGAAACUCUGGGAUCUCCUGAGUCGAGAAUCAGAGAGACUGCAGGGAGUUCAUGAGAAAGUUGAUGAUCUAAAAUGUCAGAUGAGAAUGUUACAGUCAUUGUUGGAAGAUGCAGAUGCCAAGAGAUAUGAGAGUAAAGUAGUGAGAAGCUUCUUGGAAGAUGUCAAAGACAUUGUUUUUGAUGCAGAAGAUAUAAUCGAAUCCUUUCUUUUGAAAGAACUUAGUGGAAACCAAAAAGGGAUCAAGAGGCGUGUGAAAAGACUUUCUUGUUUCUUAGUGGAUCGCCGAGAUAUUUCUAUGGAAAUUGAAGGCAUAACUACGAGAAUGUCUAAGCUUGUUGCGCAAAUGCAGAGCUUUGGAAUACAACAGAUCAUCUACAGAUCACCGUCUCUACAAGAGAGACAAAGACCAAGGGAGAACCGACAAACAUAUCCAAAGACAUCUCAAAAGGAUCUUGUGGGGGUGGAACAGAGUGUUAACGAAUUGGUUAGUCAUUUGGUGGAGAAUGAUAGCAUCCAAGUAGUUUCCAUAUCUGGGAUGGGUGGUAUUGGAAAAACCACUCUUGCGAGACAAGUUUUUCAUCAUGACAUUGUUCAAAGUCAUUUUGAUGGAUUCGCAUGGAUCUGCGUUUCGCAAGAUUUUAAGAAGAAGGAUAUUUGGCAAAAGUUAUUGCGAGACCUCAGACCACAUGAGAAGGGAAUCGAACAUAUGAAUGAGGAUACACUCCAGGCUAAGAUCUUUCAUUUGUUGGAAACAUCUAAAUACUUAAUUGUCAUGGAUGAUGUAUGGAAAAAAGAAGACUGGGAUGUAAUAAAAGACGUAUUCCCCCAAGCAAGAGGUGAGCUCUCUAAUUGUACAAACAUUACUUCCCAUAGCUAUUUCAUAAAUGCCUUUGAGUCCUUGAGAUGAAAGGAAAUACAAUUGCAGGUUGGAAGAUGAUUCUUACUUCACGCAAUGAAGGUGUUGGUUUGCAUGCCGACCCAUCAUGUUUUCCCUUUAGACCAAAAAUCCUUACUCCUGAAGAAAGUUGGAUGCUAUGUGAGAGCAUAGCAUUCCCUAGAAGAGAAAUAACGGGUAUGUUUCUAUAUAAGACAUAUGAAUCUCUUACGGGCCUUCUUAUCAAAAAUCUUUUGUACUAAUUCCUAAAUUAUCAUCUGGGAUGACAUAUAUUGUUAUAUAUACUAGGUGUUUAUCGGCAUAUAUAAGAAGGAUAAAACAUAUUUUUGUAAAUUUUUUUAUGCUUAGAAUUUUAUUUUAAGAUAACAACCCAAUAUACCUAUAUAUAUGAUUUCUAUUUUUAUCUUAAAAAUAUAUUUUUAUUUUUUGACUAUUUUCUUAUCUUAGUCAAUCUAUUAAAUAAAUCCAAAAGUUGAUUAUAUAAAUUAUAAAUCUAGACAAGAACAAAAAAAAACAAUUUCAUUGCCAAUAAUGAAUUAUUAGAAUCUUUGAUUUAUAUAGUCCCAUCCGUUACUUUAUGUAUGUGUUAUUUAGGAGGGUCAUUGGUAAGUGAAUUCUUAUGAACUUUGGAAAAUUUGAGAUUUCAUUAUUAUUAGUUUUUGGAUUUCAAAUAUCUUAAUAGAAUCCGUUGUUAUUGGUUUUAAAAAAAAUCAAAAUCCAUUCAAAUCUUUUGUUAUUCAAAAAGUUUAGUUAUUAUUGAUUCUCUAAUUCUAACUAAAUUCAGUGUUACUGGGAGAUGAAUUUUAUUUAUUUUUAUUCAUAAGACUCAACUAUCAAAAUAUGUAUCCAUAUGAUUUUCAAAAUCCAUGUGAUAAAAAACUAAAAAAUAAAAUAAUUAUUCUUACCAAUUAUCUAUUGAACCUUAAAUCCAAAUUAUACGUCCAAAAAUAUAAUUAAUUACAUUUAUAUACUUUUACAUUUUUGAAUAUAUAAUUAUUUUUAUAAAUAUUAUCAUUUUUAAUAUAAAUAUUAAUAAUUACAUUUAUAAAUAUUAACAAGUUUUAAUAUAUUUUUUUAAAAAUAGUUUCGAAAACCAUUUUCAAAUUUAUAAAAAUUAUAAAAAGUUCAAAUUUGAAAACAUCUAAUCCGAAAUUAUAAAACAAAAUUUUUUAUUUUUAUUUUAUUUUUAUUACUUAUAUAUCUAUAAAGCAAAGGGAAAAAUAGUUUUUUGCCCUUUUAAUAAAACUUCUUUUGGUCAUUUUCCUUUUUGAAUAUUUUUUGUGACAAAAACUUAAAAAUGACUAUUUAAGAAAAUUGUACAAUUUUGUAUGUAUCACUAUUAUUUUCUUUUUAAUUUGAAGAAAAAAAUAAAUAAUCAUGCUAUAUGAUUUAGAAAAUAUAUAAAUUAUAUAUUUACUUUACAAAAAAAAAUUAUAGAAAAGAGGUAAUACAAAUUCAUGAAAAUCUUUUCCAAUCUAAAAAGGUUAUUAUCAAAUUUCAUAAGUCGAUGUAUUUAAAUUUUUACAAUCUACAUAACUUUUAAAAAUCUAUCAACUCCAUGGAUGGAUGGAUGGAUGGAUUUGCGAAGUGAUUUUUUGCAAUGGAGUUCUCACGUUAAAAGUUAGAGUGGUAAAUAUUGUGUAUACCCUUAAUGAAUAAAAUAUAUAUUAGCAAAAAAAAUAAAAAUUAAUUUAUUUUUUCUUAGAUAAUUAUUUAAACUAAUAAUAAGAAUUAUCCAAAAUCUAAAAAAAAAAAGAUAAUUCCUAUAGAUAUUGUGUUGUUAUCUGAAAAAAUCAUUUAAUAAAAAGUUCAAAGUUAAAAAAAUGGAAAACACAUAACUAAAUAUAUUAAUCAAGUAAAUGCUUGAUUUUAUAUAAUUGAAAAGAGCAUAUUGAGUGAUUUCUAAAAUUUAUUUAUUAAUAAUUAAUGAAUAUAGUGUAUAAGGAAAUAUUCAAAAAUUAUAAUACAUAAAAAAAUCAAAUGAAAAAAUAAAUAAUAAUUUAUCAUUAUAGUAUUCUAAUUAUUAAUACAUAUAUUAAUAAGUAAUUAUAAAAUACUUAUGUCUACGGAAGAAACACCUAGUAAUAGUAUAAUAUACAAGUUUAGCAAUAUGAACUUCAUAUUGUAAGCAUGGCCGGCUUUUGAGGAAGGCGGUCAGUGCGACCACUCCGCGGCCCGUUUCAAAUCAUGUUAUGUUAAGGGCCUUAAGAGUUAUAAAAUUUAGAGAUUCUAUUGUUAUUGGUUUAUGUAUUCUUAUAAUCUUGUUAGAAUCCUUUGUUAUUGGUUUAUGAACUUUUAAAUUUCAUAUAAAAUCCUUUGUUAUUCAAAAAGUCUAGUUUUUAUUGAUUUUGUAAUUUUAGUAAACUCUCUUGUUAUUGGGACAUAAAUUCUCUCUAGUUUUACUCAUAACACUCAACUUUACAAAUAUCAUCUAUACUCAUAAGAUUUUUAGAAUCUAUGUAACAAAAAACACAAAUAUACAAACACAAAAAGUUUUGUAUUACAUUUUUGUUGUCAUGUGAAAGAUAAUUGUAAAAGGAAAUUUAAAGAUAACAAAUUAUUAAAGAUAACAUAAUUAAGAAUAUGAAAAAAUCAUAGGUUGACCUCAGAAAACUUUAAACAAAAAUCAAAAAAGACAAAUUCAAAUAUUAAAAAAAUAAAAAAAAAAUAUUUUAACAUCAAAUAACUAUAUUUCUUGAAAUAAAAAGUUUAGAAGUAUUUUUAUAAAUAGAUAAAUCUGGAAAGAAAAACAUAUAUGGAAAUUCAUGCUAAUCAAUCAUAAUCAAUGAAAAUUUAUACAAUACAUAUGGCAAGAAUUCAUCAAAUUUACUUAACUCUUAAAAAAAUUUGAACUUUAAAAAUUUUCAGAUUCUAAGCAAAUUUCAUUUUCAAUAGGCCCCUAAGAAAUCAAGUAUAAAUUUUUGCUCGAUGUUAUGCCUAAGUUGAAAAGUUAAAGAAACACAAAAUUUAAAAAAACAGACUAGUUAUGGGCCUCAAAAUUUUGAUUUGCCCUGGGGCCCUCUAAUUGUAAGUGAUCUUAAAUGUUCGAAACAAAAAAAAUAUAAAAUACUAAGUAAACUAUUAAAAGAGUCCUCAUAAAAACUAACAAUUCUCCGGAUAAUCAUUAAGUUAGAAAAAAUAUAUAUAAUUCUUUUUAAUUUAUAAAAUUAAUUAUAGAUUAAAAGUAUCAAUGACUUUAGUCGUUAUAACUUUUAAUAUAAGAGUUCAGAGGUAAAAAAAUCACAAGUUUAGCAAUACAAACUUCAAAACAAAAAAAACGUAGUAGUAAUACAAACUGACGUAAGUAUAAAAUACUAAGUAAACUAUAAAAGGGGCCAUCAUAAAAACUAACAAUUUUCCAGAUAAUCACUAAGUUAGAAAAUCUAUAUAAUUCCUUUUAAUUUAUAAAACUAAUUAUAGAUUAAAGAUGUCAAUGACUUUAGUCGCUAUAACUUUUAACAUGAGAGUUCAGAGGUAAAAAAUCACAAGUUUAGCAAUAUAAACUUCAUAUUGUAAGUGAACAUAAAUGUUCAGAAAAAUAAGUGGUAGUAAUACAAACUGACGUAAAGUAUAAAAUACUAAGUAAACUAUAAAAGAGGCCAUCAUAAAAACAAACAAUUCUCCAGAUAAUCAUCCAGAUAAUCAUUAAGUUAGAAUAUAUAUAUAAUUCCUUUAAAUUUAUAAAUUAAUUAUAGAUUAAGGGUAUCCACGACUUUAGUCGCUCUAACGGAUGAGAGAUCAAAAGUAAAAACAUCACAUUGCUAAUAAUAGUACAAAUAGAUAGAUAUAUUAUAAUUUUUUGAAAAUUUGAAAAGACUAGACACAUAUAUUAUUUCAAGACUAAUCUAUAAUAUGCUUUACUGUUUUCAGAAUUUAAUGUUGAUGAAGAACUAGAAGCCAUGGGUAAGAAAAUGGUCAAAUAUUGUGGAGGACUACCAUUAGCCGUUAAAGUGCUGGGAGGCUUGUUAGCUAAUAAAACCAUGGUUGAAGAGUGGAAAAGAGUAGAUGACAAUAUUCAAACUCAGAUAGUUCGCAUAGAUGACAAAAGUCAAGAUUCUGUUUACCGAGUAUUGUCUAUGAGCUAUGAAGAUUUGCCAAUGCAGUUAAAGCAUUGCUUUCUCUACCUAGCUCAUUUUCCCGAAGAUUACGAGAUACAAGUGGAGAGAUUGUAUUAUCUCUGGGAAGCAGAAGGAAUAAUAACGUCAAGUGGCGAUGGAGAAACCACUAGGAAAAUUGGAGAAGAAUACAUAGACGAGCUAGUAAGGAGAAAUAUGGUUAUUGGAGUAAAAGAGGAUUUGAGUUGCAAAUGGGAGUAUUGUCAAAUGCAUGACAUGAUGAGAGAAGUAUGUUUAUAUAAAGCCAAAGAAGAGAACUUUCUUCAGUUUAUCGAAGUCCCUACUUCUUCCACCUCCACCAUCAAUGCUCAUACUCCUACGGGAUCUCGCAGACUCGCAGUACAUGGCGGUGAUACGCUGGGACGUCAAAACAAUAAAAAAGCUAGAUCUAUUUUGGGUUUUGGACUCAACAGCAACUUGUGGAAGCAGUCAGGUCAAGGAUUCCGAAAUUUACAAUUACUUAGGGUCUUACAUCUGAAUUUACAAACACAUGAUAGCGACUCUAGAGGAGGGAGAAUACCUUCGAGCAUUGGGAAGCUCAUUCAUUUGAGAUAUUUGAGCUUAGACAUGGGUUGUGCAACUCAUGUACCUUCUUCUUUACGGAAUCUAAAGCUUCU